AAAGAGUUUAGGAGGCAGCCCAUGAUCAUUCUGUCUAGAAACCUUGAAGAAAUUAGUGAACCAAGCACUAUCGGCUGUGAUUUUUCCAUAUCCUCCGAGUUGACUCUUUUUGUUCCAGUUGAACAAAGAUCGCCACCCUUUAGCACUUCCCACCUGCCUGCAAAAGGCUGUUCCUGCUGAAUCUAGUGCAAAGUAAGCCAUAUGUCCCUGUUCUGAUAUCACUCCAACUAGCACAACAACAUGAGCAGAAACAUCCUCUAAGUUGAGCCACAACAGAGGCAGGCAUAGCUGUGUAGUAUUGACAAUACUGCAGUUGUUCAUAUCCAACACCAUCAAAGAAGGUAGCAAGCACAACAUUGCCAUCAGCAAUUUGCCGACAAACUUCCUCGAAAUCAUCAUAGUGAAUGGCCCGGAUUUCACCACCAGUGAAGUGAUGACUCACACUUUUAGUUGACUGCAUGGAUUCAAAUCCAAUAAUGUUACAGCAAGUGGUGGAUAGCAAGUGAUUUCAAAAAGAUUUCACAAAAAAAACGUUGUGGACAUCAAGUAAUAGAGUCAAAAGCAUACCAUGGAUUCCAUUGGAACUCCUGCCAAAAGCAUUGAAAGCAUGCGCAGAAUUUUGUGGACACCGCCACCAGUAGUUCUGAAAGGGAACUCUUCAUCAAAACGACUAAUGAAGUGUUCUGGAACACAAUAAGUGUUAGCCACACUUAAUACAGGUUCCUCGCUAGAGCACGCAAUCAUUAUUCUGUUCAUCAUCUCAGCCAGUUGAGCUACUGCAUAUGCCACACAUUCACCUGCACAAAAACAGAACAAGAAUGACUAGGUUAUACACAACAUAAGAGCAUUUACGAUAAAAGAAAUCACUUACAUAUAUUACUAGAUGAUUUAUAGGCAUUCAUAACAAAUAUUAAAAUAUAAAACUAGCACAUUACUACAAACAAGAAUUAGGACAGGGAAGAGUUAAUCAGCACAAAAUUGGUCAGGAGGAAGAACGAAAACUACCAUAGGCAGAACAGAUGUUGUACGACAGAUUUGAAAUGCACAAAAGAACUUACCAGGAUCGCCUACUUUGAUUUUCUGUUCUUUGGCUUCACCCACAAUCGAAAUUCCAUUCAUCAAGACAGUUGCAUGGUUUAAACUAAAGUUAUUUGGGUUCUACAAGAAACAAGUUAUAAGUUUCAUUCGAGAGAAACAAAGUAACAAAAGAAAAAUAGAUGAAGGAACAAAUUCAUACCAUAGAUUUACAGCCAACACAGUACAAUGGUGGGAAAUCAAACACAAGGAAUCUUAUAGUUUUCAUCUUCUGAUGGCAAUGAGGACACUCCCAGCUUGGGACAUCACAUUCACUUCUAGUGCCAAAAACAAUUUCGACUCCAUUAAUUAUCCAGGGUUCCAUAGGACCUUGCAUGAGAUCUGCAAGAAAAAAAAUCAGAUGUACGAAAGUUAUAAUCUCGAGACUGGGUCAGAUGUACAAUUUGGGAGGAGAAGAGAUUAGAACCGCCGAUGGAUAACACCAUCUACCCUGGUUCGGGAUAAAAACUUGCAUGUAGAAAAAUAAAGAAACACAACACCGCCCACCCUUUGUCUAAGAUGAGGGUUCAGUGACUGGAUUAUCUAGCGAAUCCGGAAAGUAAAGUUCCAAAUCAUCAACGCAAAAUCUACCAAAUCAAGAUUCUUUUCGAUUCUUCUAAAGUAGAGUUGCAGAAGAUCCAAGGGGACAGAUCUAAAUUAGAGUAGGAUCCAAGGGGUCAGGUAUACCAAAGUUGGGUAUCGAUUCUAGACUAGAGUUACAGAUAAGGAUUCAGAUCUGCGAUUUGGGAACGGUAUCUACUCUAAACUAUUUAGGUCAACUCCACCGCGCGACCCCAAACGGACGUCCGUUUUGUCCGGUUUCUGUCCGUUUGGGUAGGGAUUUGGGGUCGUGUCCGGGCCUGUUCCGGGAUGCGGUGGCCGUGCGCCCACCGCGCGGACGCAUCCCGGCCACAUCCUGUCCGCGUAUUAUUUCUUUGCAAGUCCUUAACUUUAUUUCAUCAUUCAUUUUUGGUACAUGGAAAAGCAUCGUCACAUUUUAACUAGUAAAACAAGACCAAAGAAAAUAAAAACAACAAGAAUACAUUUUAGAAGAUAGCCAACUUACAUAACUGCCCCCUUGAGUUGGGUUAGGGCCUUCUCGAUGCACUCAUUGCUGAUCUAUGGAGGAGGCUCGAUCUGGCAUCCUCCUUUCUUCUUCAAGCCAGAAGUAGAUGUUGCUUCCUCAGACCUAGUCUCGUGUCUAGCCUCUAAUCUAGCAACAAGUGCACUUGUCUCAUUUACGGCCUCUAUGCUAGCUAAAAGUGCACGAACAUGUACUAAAUUUCUCUCUAUCAAUAUAUCGAUGUACUCUUCUUCCCAAUACCAAAACUUGCAUCCAUUCAACACAACAAAAUUUGAAGUUAGCACAACUAGUUAAAUCUAGAGCACAAACCGACGCUAAAAAAGCACAUACCCCAUCGUUUAAGCACUUGAUGAACACUCAUCCGGAAUGUUCCGGCGUUGUAGACACGCGGCGCACGACCAUCCUUGGGCAAUGGUCGCACUUAAUGAGUGGCAACGGUGCGCCGGCGAGCUUUUGGGCAAGCACCGAGCCCGGCCGGCCGCCAUUCGUGUAUCUGCCGGCGGACCACCGACGGUGCAGAUCCGAGCGGCUAGAGGAGGAGCCACUGCCUACAUGUGGCCUUGCGGCCCUUCCAGGGCCUUCCGGCGAGGUGCCCGGGCAGUCCAUGGCGCGGCCCGGUCUCCCUUAGCCGGCCGAGCUCAAGAUCGACCGGAUCCUCCCCAAAACCGGCCGGCGGGUGCGCAAACCAGGUGGCCGUGGUCGCGUCUGAGCCCGGCGCCGAGGGGAAGGGGUUGGGCGAGCUCGCGUCCGAACUGCACGGCUGCAAUGGCAGCGGCGGCGGUGGCGGCAGCGACGGGAAAGAAUGGGGAAGAGUGGAGGGGGUGCGGCCGGAGGGAGGGAGGGGGCGGAUAGAAAAAGGCCCGUCUUGUGCCACCGACGGGCGGGCCAGGGGAGGACACGCGCAGACGACCCGCGUGUCCGCGUGGUGUCCGUUUCACCCCAAAACCAGCGCAAGUUUGGGCCGGGGAUGGGUCGAAAGCGGACACAAAGCGGACAAAUGUCCGUUUGCUCCCGCGCGCUGGGCCGCCUUUUUUGUCUCUUUUACCCCAAACAGACGGGGCCGGACAGGAUAGGGUCGCGCGGUGGAGUUGGCCUUAGAGAUAAUGGAUUCAGAUGUACGACUUGAGAACCAGGGGGAGGGGAUAGAAUGGGAUAAAAACCUCUAGUGGAACAAACAGCCCACGGCUCCGGGGGGCGGCGGGGGGCGGCUGAAGCUACUGGAGCGGGGGAGGGAGAGAAGCCGUUGUGGGGGGUAUUUAUCUGCGUUAUGAUGAUGCGGGGCGGGCCUGGACAGCCAUUGGAUCUAGGGCAAAAUGGGCGGAUGCGGUGGCGUAUUCAGAGUAUGGGGCGUGGAUGGCGGGCGUGCAGCGGGGUUACAAUCGAUCCUUUCGCAACUCUGAUUUUCAUGGUGAGUCGAGUAAAUAAAAUACAAGAGUAUAUUUAUAAUAUUAAAGGACGGUAGAUUUCAUAGUUCUCCAUACAUCAUCCUGUUUAUAUCCGUUAAUUUUGUUUUAACUAUGAAGAUUGACGAUUGAGAUUUUCCAAAAUAAACGAAGGGUUAUGAGGUGUCUUCAGGUCGCAUCGCUAGUUCUGUCCGCUUGUCCAACACGUAACCAACACCGUAAAGCUAAUCCCCUUUGAUUUUCUCCUCCCAAAUCCCCUUGCCAAAUCCUUUUAAAAAAAUCCCCUUGCCAAAUUUCUUCUCAAAUUGAAAAACAUGAGGUCAGCAAGAUGUGGCCAUUGGAGGGCGAGCGUAAGCUCCACGUUACCGGCAGAGGACGAGCCAGCCGGCUUGAGGUUCUCCGACGGCGAGUUUGACCACUUCCCUAGGAUGACGCAUGGCUUACCAUGACGAUCGGCGUAGGCGGGCACCUCAGCGGCUGCGGCUUCGGCCUGAUACUGCGGAAGCACGGCCUCGCCGCGGAUCACGUCGUCGAUGCCUUCAUGGUGGAUGCCAAUCCAACACAGGGAGUGUCGUGGUAUUUUCACGGCAGAUGUCCUCUUAGGACUUAGUCGCGAGGCCAUCAGUGUCGAGUGGUAGAUCAAAGGUGUUAAACGAGAGACACAAUGAUUACCCAGAUUCGGCCCCUCUCGGUGGAGGUAAAAGCCUACUUUUGCUUGGAUUGCAUUGAUGAUCUCGAUUACAAGGGUUUCGCAUGGCUAAGCUAGCAAUCGAGGGGUUCUAACUUGAUCUUUCUGACCCUGGGGCUCCCCUUUAUAUAUAGGGUGAGACAAGGGGCGUACAUUAGAGUUCGGGCCGGAAACAUGAUCCGUGCCCAAGUCUUUCUUGUCCUCUAAGGAAUAAUACAAUGGCGGUUCGCAAGUAGGCUUCUGUCGGCACGUCAUGGGCCGGCCCAUCCAGCGGGCGGCUUAUCCUUCUAGGCGAGUCUCCUGGAGGUCUUCGGCCCACCUGGCUUGGUCCAUCUUGUAAGUCGCCAUCAGCAUUGACCCGGCCCUAAACGGGCGGGUUAUAUCCUGUGAUUAUAUCCCCAACAUUAGUCCUCAGGUUGACUUGGAUUCAUUCAUGACAACCUUCGAAACCAUUGUCCUAUGCAGCUCGGCAAGCAAAAUCAAGGUGACUUCACUCGGCUUCUGUAAGUGAAUUGGUGCUUGUAGCUUGUAGUUAUGCUUGGUUUCCCUUAAUGAAAAUCAGAGGACACUUUCAUGGAAUGGUGGGACAAGGCUCGGAAGUCCUUUCAUGGUAAGCUCAAGAGAGGGUUUGACUCGUUUGUCAUCUUGACCGCGUGGCAUCUAUGAAAGCAAAGAAACGCAAGAGUGUUCAACAGGAUCGAUCAAGCGCGCACGGACACUAACCUUGUCCAGCUCAUCCAUGAGGAGAUCAAGCUUUGGAAGAAGGCGGGUAUAGGAGUUGAGGGCUUAGAUAGAUUUGUGAGAGAGUAAUCUUUUGUGUCUUCUUUCGGAGUUGGAGUUCUGUGUAUCCCGUCUUAGCACGGGUUCUUGUAAAACAUUCUUUCUUCCUUCUAUAAAAAAUACGGUACACUUUUGGCGUACUCUCGAAAAAAAAUCAGAAGGGAAAUCCCUUUUUUUCUUUAAAACAGGUGAGUUCAUUCGUGCAAGGACAAGAACCGCCUUCAGAAGUGUUAGAGCAUCGACAACUGGCCUCCUCGAAUCCUUCCUUAAACGUCUACAGAAGUGUCGGAUCAUGAAAAAAAAGGAAAAAAGUGAUUUAAUCGAACCUCUCUAUCAUUUUUAUACAUUCGGGCUAUCCACGGACCCUCGUACCGAGACCAAAAUGUAGGUAGUACAUGAGGGCUCGCGGGCGCCUGGUCUGUUCACCACAUAAGACGCGAACUAUUCUUUCUUUUCUUUUCACUCUCUUCAUCUCAUCAAUCACAUGCAAGUGAUCGAACGAGAAAAUAUAAGUAUGUCCACAUGAACGGACAAAUAGGAACGUGUCCGUGGGGGCAGAUUUGCUAAGUCCAUUUGCAGAUGCUCUUACCGCUGUGCAAGUGACAAAGCGUUAGUACUACGGUGUACGGGAGAGGUAGAUCGGACAGGGGUACCCAUCGGACAGUGGGCGCCACUGGAACGUGGUGCCACCGAGUGCGAGUAGUAGAGCAUGUGCCAUUUUAAACUUGUUGUAUGCAGAAACAGAUUGAAUAAAGCAUGAUUAUAAGUCACCGACGUUUAUUAACCAGGCCUGGCUUUCGACUAUAAGUUGCCAGUAUGAUGAUAAAGUAUCCAGUAUUUAUUAACCCGGACUGGCCUGGUUUUGAUUAUAAGUCUCCAGUAUAUAUUUGGAUUGCGCCAUUGGAAUCAUGCGCUCAUAAAUCAUUGGAUUAUAUUAUUAAAAUCUUCAAAUAGCCAACAUGGCUGGAUUUUAUUAUGGUUAUCAGUAACCAGUGUUAUGAUUAAGGUUUUUAAAGUCGCUUUAGCGCAAUGUCUAUUAUGUUAUCAAUGGAUAUGAUUUAUUCUACAAUCGAAGGAAUAGUUCUGAGUCGCUGCAGGCUGACGACCAGGCACUUGGGGGCUACAUUAUUCAAAUUGAGAUUACAUCAAAUAUUCAAGUCCCAUGUCAUUGCCAGCAUGCACCAUGGCACUUGGGGGCUAAUGCAAAAUUAUUGUUUGCUCACCUUAUUGAAGACCCGACUCAUCACAUUGUAAUGAGCCGGCCCUUGGGAGCUACCAAUUGCUCUUGUUAACAAUUCAAGGUACACAAGUCUUAAACCAUUAUAUUGAAGUAUCCACUCCUCAGUUGGUAAAGCACAAAGCUCUUAACCUUGUGGACGUGGGUUCAAGCCCCAUGAUGGGAGUUGCAUCAUAUGACAUUCUUUUCAAAGAAGUAUAUAUAAAGUCCCAGCUCAGUAUUAUCUUACUAAGCCGGCCUUUGGGGGCUACAUGUUGCUGCUCCAGUUUACAAGAUUAUAUCUACAAAGUCUUUGUUCACAUAAUGACCCGACACUUAGGGGCUAAUGCAUAUUGCUUUUUUUUAGGACAAUUCUAUGAUGACCCGGCUACACUAUUAUGACUAUAGCCGAUUCAUGGGGCUACACAGAUGGAUUUUAUUUAAAGCCAUGGUGAUAAGUCCCGAAUUAUUCAUGCGGAUUAAACCGACCCUUGGGGGCUACAGGUGAUAUGAAUAUAAUGGAGGAACAUCUUCAAGUUCUCAGUUCUUGGAUAUCAUAUUUUCAGUUCUGGCUUGGAUAGCUAAGGAAAAUCAACUACAUAAUCCGGUGUGAGCAACAAUCAUGACCCGGCAUCAUUUGUUUAUAAUCCGGAGAUCUUGGCAAUCAUAAACGGGCAAGUCCUACAUCUUCAAGCCGGCUGAAAAUCAAGAUGAGUAUUUCAAAACCAAUAUUUUUUUCAAGUUGGAGUUUUGGAAGCCGAUUCAAAUGGAUUAUUUCUUAUAAUACUUCUCUACGAGAGACCAAUAUCAGUAAAUGGAUUAUGAAACUGGCUUAUUAACGCGGAUUUUCUAGAAGAAAGAAAUGACAAGGAUUUAAGGAUGAUCAAGAGACGGUUUACAAGAAUUCUUAACCCGGAGCACAAUCUGUCAAAUUUGUUCUGGUGUUUAUUUUGCAGAAUCAGUUUAACAUGGAUGAAUCCAAAUUAAACUGGGGGCUAAUGUCGGGGAUAUACCCCGCGGUAAACCGGCCGGAUGUAUAACCCGGCUGAAGAAUGGUGCUUCAUUGGUGACCCGUCCGGAGCUUGGCGACUCAUGGCUAUCCUGCCCUGGAUUGGCGUAACCCGGCGGGCGGGUCAGGCGGAUGACAAGGCCCAAGGCCUAGAAGGCCGGUUCAUGUUAUGGUGGGCCGGUUUAAGAGAAAAGGCAUAAGGAAUAUUCCCCUACAAAGGAAGCAAGACUAGGACUCCACUUGUAAUAGAGUAAUUCUAAUCCUAAUAGGACUAGUCAUGUAACCCACCCCUUCAACAUAUAUAAGGAGGGGCAUGGCUCCCAAAAGAGGGACAAGCAAAGAAGAAGCAAUCUCUAGGGCUAGACACAAAGAGCCGGUUUACCGGCGACUUCCUUAUGAUGAUAAUGAGACCUAGCCACCAACAGCAUGUAGGGUUGUUACCGGAUGAUGUUUCCCGGGGCCCGAAGCUGUCUAAAUCCUCGUCUUGUGUGUUGAUCCGACCUGCGUCUCUCAUCACAAUCAACCGCUCUCAAGCUAUCACAUAGAUGCGUUGGCUUCACGACUAAGUCCUGGCACUAAGGACAUCUGCCGUGACAAUUCCACGACACCCUCCGUUUCUAAAUAUAACUUUUUUUGGAAAUUUCAAAUGGACUACAACAUACAGAUGUAUGUAGACAUAUUUUAGAGUGUAGAUUUACUCAUUUUGCUCUAUAUGUAGUCACUUGUUAGAAUCUCUAGAAAGACUUGUAUUUGGGAACGGAGGGAGUAGUACUAUCCCGUCCAGAAAUAAAUGCCACUUGAACCGAUAUACCUAGCAGCGUUUGAGUGUCAUUUAUUUCCGGACAGAGGGAGUAAUACUCCCUCCGUUCCUAAAUAUAUGUCCUUUUAGAAAUUUCAGUAUAGAUUACAUAGGAAACAAAAUGAGUGAAUCUAUACUUUACAUCCGUAUGUAAUCCAUAUUAAAAUCUCUAUAAAAGACAUAUGUGCGGGAACGGAGGGAGUAUAACGUAAGGGUGAAUCAAAAUCAAUUCUGAUAUCAAUAUAUGUAUCCCAAACCCAGGGCUCAAAUUCUCAAGGAGUCUGUCAUUCUGUUAGUCUUCAUAACAUGUGCACCAAUGCUAGCAGCCAUUUCAAAAUGAGUCCCGCUUCGGUACAACCCCCCUCCAAAACGUAUAAAGGACAAUAUAGUCUUUUCACGCAUCGUAUCCUUUUUCAUAAGCAUGUUCCGUUGCAUGCCGUAUGUACGAGGAGCCCAUUUAUGUGCUAACACCCACAGGUUGGCCCAUUAAUAUUUUUUUUAAUAUUCAAAACAGAUGCGGGUAGUGUGAUUCGAACUCAUUACCACAUUGUAUUCAUACAGUGCACUAACCAAGUGGUAGAGCUGACGCUGGCGUACAGACGGCGGGCGGGUCAGACGGAUGACAAGGCCCAAGGCCUAGAAGGCCGGUUCAUGUUAUGGUGGGCCGGUUUAAGAGAAAAGGCAUAAGGAAUAUUCCCCUACAAAGGAAGCAAGACUAGGACUCCACUUGUAAUAGAGUAAUUCUAAUCCUAAUAGGACUAGUCAUGUAACCCGCCCCUUCAACAUAUAUAAGGAGGGGCAGGGCUCCCAAAAGAGGGACAAGCAAAGAAGAAGCAAUCUCUAGGGCUAGACACAAAGAGCCGGUUUACCGGCGACUUCCUUAUGAUGAUAAUGAGACCUAGCCACCAACAGCAUGUAGGGUUGUUACCGGAUGAUGUUUCCCGGUGCCCGAAGCUGUCUAAAUCCUCGUCUUGUGUGUUGAUCCGCCCUGCGUCUCUCAUCACAAUCAACCCCUCUCAAGCUAUCACAUAGAUGCGUUGGCUUCACGACUAAGUCCUGGCACUAAGGACAUCUGCCGUGACAAUUCCACGACACCCUCCGUUUCUAAAUAUAACUUUUUUUGGACAUCUCAAAUGGACUACAACAUACAGAUGUAUGUAGACAUAUUUUAGAGUGUAGAUUUACUCAUUUUGCUCUAUAUGUAGUCACUUGUUAGAAUCUCUAGAAAGACUUGUAUUUGGGAACGGAGGGAGUAGUACUAUCCCGUCCAGAAAUAAAUGCCACUUGAACCGAUAUACCUAGCAGCGUUUGAGUGUCAUUUAUUUCCGGAUAGAGGGAGUAAUACUCCCUCCGUUCCUAAAUAUAUGUCCUUUUAGAAAUUUCAGUAUAGAUUACAUAGGAAACAAAAUGAGUGAAUCUAUACUUUACAUCCGUAUGUAAUCCAUAUUAAAAUCUCUAUAAAAGACAUAUGUGUGGGAACGGAGGGAGUAUAACGUAAGGGUGAAUCAAAAUCAAUUCUGAUAUCAAUAUAAGUAUCCCAAACCCAGGGCUCAGUUUCUCAAGGAGUCUGUAAUUCUGUUAGUCUUCAUAACAUGUGCACCAAUGCUAGCAGCCAUUUCAAAAUGAGUCCCGCUUCGGUACAACCCCCCUCCAAAACGUAUAAAGGACAAUAUAGUCUUUUCACGCAUCGUAUCCUUUUUCAUAAGCAUGUUCCGUUGCAUGCCGUAUGUAUGAGGAGCCCAUUUAUGUGCUAACACCCACAGGUUGGCCCAUUAAUAUUUUUUUUAAUAUUCAAAACAGAUGCGGGUAGUGUGAUUCGAACUCAUUACCACAUUGUAUUCAUACAGUGCACUAACCAAGUGGUAGAGCUGACGCUGGCGUACAGACUAGAACUUUUCUUAUUCUUAUGCUAUAAACAACUCGUGAAUAACCUAUGUACCCAUGCGUUCUACAAAUGUUUCUCGGCCGCAGCUGUGCCCUCAGACGUGACGUAAACAAGAAAGGCAACACCUUGUUUAAUUUUUUUUCCGGUUUUGUCUAGCCAUUUUUCUACUGUUUUUUUCUCGAUCUUCUUCUCUUUUUUCAUUUUCUUUUCCUUUCUAAAAUUCACGAAAUUUUUGUAAAAUCCAGAAAUUUUCAUAAAUUCAUGAACUGUGUUUUAAGUCCGUGUCUAAUUUCUUAAACUUGUGAACUUUUUCUGAAAUCACUGAUUUUUUGCAAAUACAUGAACGAUUUUCAGAUCCACGAACCUGUCUCAAUUUUUACAAACUUUUUCUAAAACCCAUGAUUUUUUUUCCAAAAACUCGUGCGAACAAUCUAUGUCCGAGCGAGAGGAAAGAUGAACGAGAAGGAAAUAGCCAUUUCCUCUGCUUGUCAUAAGCAUCGGUCUUCAAUGUACUCUUUGUUUAGGAUAUGAACUGCUACCAUGAAUAUUCACUAGUUUCGAACUAGGAAGGUUCAUACAAACAGUUCGUAUUCUUCAAAAUGAGAGCAUUGAUGACUGUUGUAUUGUUUUAAAAUUAACUUUUUUUGGUUCUUGUAUUAUUUGUCCUGUGACACAUUUUUUGUCACGUAGCAUUUUUUCACAUCCAUCAAGUGGAUCCAUUUAUUUCCCGUAGUAUUCUAUCAUCAUGGCAAGCAUCCAUGCCAAGUUUUAUUAUGUUUUGUUAUUCUAUGUAUUUUCUAGGGUUUUCUCAGUGGAAAGUCCCUAAAAUACUUACCGCGCGUGACGCAACGUAUGUUUACUGUCCGAAUUCAUUCAAUUUUUGCGUGGAGUACUAGGGUGACCAUAUUUAUUCAUAUUUAUCGCAAUGUUACAAAAUGUGCAGCAUAUUUAUUUAUUUAUUCAUAUUUUUCAAAAAGUUUGAAAAUAUCAAAAAAUGGUCGCAUUUUUAGAAAAAAAUCAGAUUUUUAAAAUUGUUUGUAUUUCCAAAUAUUAUUCUGAAUUUUAAAAAAAUCUUGGUUUUCAAAAUUUAUUCAGAGUUUAAACUCUGUUCUACUUUUCGGAAAAUUUGUAUGCAUGUUAAAAAAAUCAAUUUUGAAUUUCUUUUGCGUUCAAAAAAGUCACAUUCAAAAUUCUAAAAAAUUGUUCAGCUAUGUCGCUGUUAAUAGUCUUAAGAUACCGCGCUGCUCCUUUGUCAUUAUAGUUGGGUCAGUCUAGUGGUUGGCUCAUGUGCAAGGUCCUAUGUUCAAUACCUGACGCGUGCACAUUUUUUUAGGAUUUUCCAGUGUUUCAGAUAGACCGACUUGCUGUUGGGCCGGCCCAGGCUACUGUUUUUUUUUUGCAGGGAGCCCAGGCUACUGUUAGCCGCUGUUUAUUUUCGCGAGCUGUCUCAAAAAUAAACGUCGCUGACGUAUUUUUAAAAAAAGACCAUCAUACCCUUUAUUGUAAAGGGGUAUGAAGAAAUCUCCUCCGUUGAUGUGUUUAGGGGGGGUUGUACCGAAGCAGAAGUGUUUCAAAAUACACACAAACACUUAAACUUUUCCGGUUUUUAGUAAAUUUACUACAAGUGACAAAAAUGGUUGAUCGAACAACGGUAAAUAGGGAUUUUGAAUUGCUCGUUGCAAAAUAAAAAUCAAUGACCUCUUCGUACAUUGCUUAUCAUAGGAGUAGUAGAGUAGAGAAAACACAAACAAAAUUCAAAAUGAUUGAAAAGUUUUUGCAGCUUUUUUUGGGGGAGUGGGAUGGUGUUCGACUUUGGACAUUCGAUCUUUAGAAAACAAUGCUCCUUGUGUGCUAUUUUCUGUACGUCUCGGCGCUACUGUUUCAUUGGAAGCUGAACAUUUUUUAUGAAGGCCCAGCUGUACAUGUACUCAGAAUCAAUGCCCUCGGUAUCCUCGAUCCAAAGAAAAAUACUUAAAACAUGGGUACACUAUUGCAACACAUAGACCAAUUAAGAACCUUUAACUGCCGUUUGCAGAGAAACAAGAGUUCUUUUUUUCUUCUGUAAAAAGAAACAAAGUCCUUAAUUUUCUGUGAAUGUUGUUAGUAUUUCUGUUUUAACAACUAUUUCUAAUUAUUUUUUUGCACAUACACAAACUUCCUAACUCCAAGCAUGCAUACGUCGAAUAAAACCAGGUAUCUCAUUGUGAUGGAUGAUGUAUGGAGCCUACCAGCCUGGGAAGCUAUCUGGAACAUAUUUCCAAAGAGUAAUUGCGGCAGCAGAAUCACUGUGACAACUCGGAUAAAGGAAGUGGCUGUGGCAGCUAGUGCCGACUUUGUCCAUCACAUGGAGCCCCUAGAAAGAGAAGCAUCUGAGAAACUAUUUGUCAAAAGAGUGUUUAGCUCCACAAAGCUGGGUGAUUGCCCCACAGAACUUAAAGAAACCAUGGAUAUAAUUUUGAAAAAAUGUGGUGGGUUGCCGUUGGCCAUCGUUAGCAUCGCCAGCCUUCUGCCAAGCUCUACGUCAGCUGAGAGCAUAGAUAUGUGGAAACAAGUUUCUAGAUCAAUUGGUUCUGAUAUGGAAAGCAACCGUACCCUCGAGGGGAUGAGGCAGUUGAUUACACUCAGCUAUGACUACCUACCUCAUUAUCUGAAGGCUUGCAUGAUGUAUGUGAGCAUUUUCCCGGAGGAUUAUAUGAUUGCCAAGGAUAGACUGCUAUACAGAUGGAUUGCUGAGAGUAAAUGGCACUGGUGGUCUGAGAACUUGCGUUGCGGGUGCACUUAAGUCACGGUACUUGUAAACUGGAAAAACCCGUCAUAGAACUUGCAUUGCGGGUGCAGAUAGGUCACAUAUGCCAUCUAAACCGGCCAGCUGUCCUAUUUUCGAGAAAAAACCCGUCAUAGAACUUGCGUUGCGGGUGCAAAUAGGUCACAUUUCAAAAUUUUUGUUCCCGGACAUUUUUUCAAAGUCACGAAUCACAAAUAUUUUUAAUAAAUAUUUUUUAAUUUAUCGUCCGAGAACAAUUUUUUUAAAGUCAUGAAUCACAAACAUUUUUUUAAAUGUUCACCACUUAAAACAAAUGUUCGCAAAUCACAAAUAUUUUUCAAAUUUAUCAUUUGCAAACAUUUUUUAAAGUCGUGAACAAAUAUUUUUUUAAAGUCAAGAAUCAUAAAUAUUUUUGAAUUUGUCAUUCGCGAAAUUUUUUUAGAGUCGUGAAUCACAAUUUUUUUAAUGUUCACAGCUUUAAAAAAUGUUCAUGAAUCAAAAUAUUUUUCAAAUUUAUCGUUCUCGACCUUUUUUUAAUGCCGUGAAUAAAUACUUUUCAAAUUAAUCAUUCCUGAACAUUUUUAAAUUUAUCAUUCAAAAACAUUUUCAAAUUUUUCGUUCCUGGACAUUUUUUUAAAGUCACUAAUCACAAAUAUUUUUAAUUUAUCAUUCGCGAACAUUUUUUUAAAGUUGCGGAUCACAAAUAUAUUUUUUGAACCGUCCGCGAACAUUUUUUAAAGUCGUGAACAAAUAGUUUUCAAAUUUAUCGUUCACGAACAUUUUUUUAAAGUCACGAAUCACAUAUAUUUUUAAAGUCGUGAACAAAUUUAUCGCGCUUGACCGUUAGAAGGAGAAAACCGGGCAGCUAGCCGGUUCAGAUGACCUGUGUGACCUAUCUGCACCCCUAAUGCAAGUUCUAUGACGGGUUUUUCCGGUUUGCAAGUACGGUGACUUAAGUGCACCCGUAGCGCAAGUUCUCGGACCGCCGGUGCCAUUUACUCGAUUGCUGAAGGUCUGGUCACUGAGAAACGUGGCUUGACUUUGUUGGAGGUUGCAGAAGAAUACUUCAACGAGUUGAUAAGUAGGAAUAUGAUUCAACUAGACAAGUUUGUAUACCAGUUAAAAGAUUCUAGAGAAGUGGAGGUACAGGGGUGCCGGGUGCACGACAUGAUCCUUGAGGUCAUGGUGUCCAAAUCCCAUGAGUCUAACUUUGUUAGCUUGGUAGGGUGUGAAUUUGAAGGGAAGACAGAUGGACAUGGCAAGGUCCGCCGCCUCUCCAUCCAUGAUAACGACCAUGACGAGCAUCAUCAUUCAAGGCAUGGUGUUGAAGCGAUGAAGCUACAGCAUGUCCGGUCAUUGACCACAUUUCAACGUGUUGGCCUUGCCAAGCUGCUGGAUCGCCUAGGUGAGUUCAAAUUGCUGAGGGUACUUGACCUGGAAGAUUGCACAUCCAUGAGAAACAAACACAUGAGAGAUGUCUGCCGUCUGUAUCUUCUCAGGUUCUUGAGCUUGAGGGGUACAGGAGUCAAAAUAAUGCCUCGCAAAGUUGGCAAUCUAGAGCACUUGGAGACUCUUGAUGUACAACACUCUCAUCAAGAAGUUACCACAGACUGUGAUAAAGUUAAGCAAACUAGAGCGCCUAUGGGCCAAUAGUUGGAAUCUGCCUCGAGGGAUCUCGAAGAUGAAAGCAUUGCGUGAGGUGGACACAGGAGUCCUUGAUGUUCCAUCGGUUGCUCAAGAGAUUGGUAAGCUGACGCAGUUGCAGUUGCUCAGUAUUAUAAUCCAUGCGGAAGUCAGUGAUGGGUGUUUGACAAACCUUGCCUCCUCCCUGAGCAAGACAAGCAGUCUCCUAUUGCUAAAUCUGAAAUUCGAGGGGAGUGUGAGCCGUUUGAAGUUUCUCGAUGCCGUCUCCACGCCGCCGCCAUUUCUCCAAUGCCUUGGUGUGUUUGGCCGAGACAUUAGCCAAUUGCCCGACUGGAUCUCAUCACUCACACACCUCACAAGGAUUGAAGUGGGAAAGACAAAAGAACUUGAUGGGGACAAGUUACUUGAUGUCUUGUGUAAGGUGCCCAAACUGGCGAAUGUCCGUCUAAAAGACAUUGAGUGCAAAGACGGAGGAGAACUGGUUGCACGCCCCGAACACAAGUUCCUGGUGCUGAGGAUCCUGAAGGUGAUCGGAUGUUCGAGCAAGCUCACUUUCGAGAAAAGAUCAAUGCCAAUGCUGGAGACGCUCGUGUUACUUUUUUUUGACAAGAAGAUGAGCAUUGUUGGCCUCGAGAACUUGGACAACCUUAAAGAGGCCAGGCUCAGUGGUAUUAAAGACCACCCGGAAAUGGAACGUGCGGUGAAGCAGCUCAAGACUCACCCCAACUCCAAUCAGAUCAAAGUUGUAGUGGAGUGGUGGAUCUGAGGUGAGCAUCUUAGGGGGCUGCUGCUCCUGUUCGUUUUCUAUGGCCUUAAUCGGAGUGUCACUAGCAAAAAAAGAAAAAAAUUGUGUGUGUGUGUGUGUGUGUGUGUGUGUGUGUGUGUGUGUGUGUGUGUGUGUGUGUGUGUCACUAGCUAAAUUAUGUUCAGAGUUCAGACUCGACCGAGCAUUUAUUUGUACUGUGGUUUUUCACGUGUGUGAACUGGACCACUGGAGUGCCAAAUAAAGCAGCUUGUAUGUGUAACGUGAGCAUAAUUCUGCAAACUAUCUCAUCUUUUUUGUUGUUACCUGUGAAGAAGACGGGCUCCUAAGUGAGCUGUUGGUUUGGCCCAGACUAUGCCUUUUGUGGAUGACAUAUGCUGCCUAAGUUGCACUUCCUCCAUUUCUAAAUAUUUGUCUUUCUAAACAUUUUAAAUGGACUACAACAUACAGAUGUAUAUAGACAUAUUUUAGAGUAUAGAUUCACUCGUUUUACUUCGUACGUAGUCAUUUGUUGAAAUUUCUAUAAAUACAUAUAUUUGGGAACGAAGGGAGUAGCUGGUAAUGUGAGCGCUGACUCUCUCAGCUCCUUUUUCUCACGGCUGCAUGCUUCACAUAGCCAACUCAAGAACAAUGGAGUAACAUGUAUUUGACUAUCUCAGCUCCUUUCUUUACCACACCUAAGUACAACGCACGCACGCACACUUGCCCACUAACACAACCAACAAACUUGCACAUGCACGCACUUACCAAGGCCACUAACACACGCACAAGAAUUGACCACAUCUACUAUACUACAGACCUCUUCACAAGGCCACACGGAACUCCUGUUCAUCAGCUCCAACUUAUGCAGGUCGUUGGCUUCAGAGCUUCAUGCAUCACCGUCUCACACGGCAAGCUAGCUUCACGCCACAGCUUGGACUUUCUCCAUGCAUGCUCUCAGAACUAUAAAAGCAAGACCAGAAAAGAAAAAUGAGAAGCAGGAACAUCAUCUUGCCAAGAGACUGCUUGACCUGCACUGGGGCGGCAAACGUCCCACUAACAUAUAGAAUAACCAUAUACUCCAUAUAGAAUAACCAUAUGCUCGACAAGUAUAACACAAAUCAAUAAAAACUACUCCAUCCGAUCCAUAAUAAGUGUCGCAGUUUUGAACUAAGGUCGAACUAAUCUAAUUUCAAACUUGCGACACUUAUUUUGGAUCGGAGGGACUACUACAUAUGCAGCGACUAGUGAAAAAUCUCAGGACAAGUGUGUGUGCGGCUGCUAUGAAAGGAUGUCUUCAUUGAAAUGUUCAUUGCAGAUACUAGCCCCACCGAGACCUCUGCCGCCGCCGGCCGAAGCAGCAGAGGAGGUGGAGGCCGACGUGGUGGCGACGCCCCCUCUGCCGGCGGUUGCGGCGGACGCUGUUUGGGCUUUGGCAGCUAUGAAGAUACCUACCACCGGUCCAAGGAAGUCCAAUGCAAACGUAGUUGUAUCUGACGAAGGCAGUGACAAGGCUGAAGGUGAAAAAUUAUCUAAGUGGGCAAUCAAAAAGAAAAAAGCUGACUUCCUAUAGGUGCGGUGAGCCAGGACAGUUUGUGGCCGAAUGCACUAAGGAGUUGUGCGAUCGCUGUCUUAAAUCACAGCAUGUGACCGGUGAGUGUCCUUUGCUUUCUGGACCCAAACCGGCAGUCUCGAUAUACAGGGUGUCUUGCCAGGAGCUUAUGUUUUUUGUGUCACUGGAGGUGGCACCAUCGAUACAGGCACUGGAGGGAUCUUUCACAGGAGUGGUCAAGGUGACUACUGGUGUCAUGACUGAAGCAUAGAUUGUGCAGCAGCUGCGUGAGUUGGCAUCAGGUAACUUUCAGUGGAACCUUGUCAGGUUGGAGAAUCAGACAUACAAGGUAGAGUUUCCCACUAAGGACGAUCAAUUACAUAUCUUGAAAUUCGGCAUGUGCAGAGUUCCGAGUACUAGCAUCAUCUUGGAGUUUGACGAGUGGAAACAAAAAGAACCUCAGGGCACACCAUUGGAACACAUUUGGGUUCGUUUUUCGGGUGCUCCACCUAAGCCGCUUAAUAAUUUCUUAGUCACAUGGAGCUUGGGUUCCCUCAUUGGCAAGACUGAGAAGGUGGACAUGCCGUUUACUCGUGCCCAUGCAUGGGGUUGCGAGAUUACUUGCUAGUGUGGUAAGUAUUGAGUUUGUGCCGGAUGUGGUCAAGUGGACACAUGCCGGGGUCACAUAUGAGUUAGAGAUUGAGAUUGACGAUACGGUGACACACGAGGAGACUGGUGAGCAUCAGGUUAUGGACACUACUGAGGGGGGUGGACCCUCGGGGAUCAGAACAAGGGGACUGAGGACAAAUCUUGGGACAUGGCCAAGAGGCCUAAUCCGCAGACUGAUAAGGCAGAUAAUUCUGCCAAGGGCGCGUCAUCCUCCACGACACCGAUGAAUGCAGUUCAUUUUGGUUCUUUUGUUUCAUAUUCGGCUCCCAGUCAUCUUUGGAGCAACAGAGUGGAGCUGGACGAUCCAACAGAGCUUGAGUUACCGCCGCUAUUGCCUCUUGAUUGUGGGUCACGGACGCAUCGCACUCCGCCUAGGGUGAUUUCCGGGCCGGAGAGAUUUACGCCGCGGGCGACUGCUGUUAUGGAUACUGUUGCGCAGGACGCCCUCGUCUGUGACUACCCUGCGGUGGGCACUCGGGGGCCCAGCCCGAUGGUGCCCGCGGCGACAGGUGUUCGGGGCGCCGGGGCCGGUGCCGAGGUUGGGGUGGGGUGUGGGCAGGCGGCUCCUACUCCCCCCAUAGUGGUCACCUGGGACACCGCCUCGAUGGAGAGGAUGAGCGCGCCGACCCUCCAUGCCGGCGAUGCUCCGAGUACUGGGACAGGUGUCCGUGGCGGCUCGCGUGCAGAAAGAAGCCGGUCAGCGCAUCGUGGCGAUGGGCAGCGGUGCAUGCAGGCAUGCUCAGCUACGUGCAUUCAUAGCAGGCUGGCUAGACAUGUCGUGCAUGCAUAGCAGGCUUCUGUCGUUGCGGAGCGCGCAGGGCCCAAUAGUCUAACCAUGGCCCAAUGGGCGAACAGCGGCACCUUCCGAUGCGGCCCCAAUUUUCAGGUCCAACGGGCGACAUAGUCUAGCACGGCCCCACUUGUCAGAGUUAACGGUCAAAGGACUGACCCAACGGCUUCCACCGUUUGCGACCAUUUCUGAAGGUUACAGACAAGAGAGUGGAGAAAAUGAGCAAAUGUUAAGAGCGUGGAGAUGAAUGAGUAUGGCUAAGGAACCAGGGGCACAGAUGUAAAAAUCCCUUAAAAAUAUAGAUUGAAGUAUUUGAGUGGACCAUACAUUUUUCAAUUUCUCAGGUUUCCAAAUUUUCUCAAUUGCUGGUUGAAACCAAAAGGAUGAUAAAACUUUUCUUUUUCUUGAUAUAUCAUCUUGAUCAGUUCACGUUGAUCCUUCCGAUGGCUCAAUUUUUGUGUCAAUGAGUACUAUCAAGAUGGAUUUAAUUGUGUGCCAAAAUGGGCAAGAGAAAUUCAUAAAUAUGGGUGAUGCCAAAUAUUAUUGAUUAGAGUGUUUCCAAGCACAAAAGAUGUUAAUGUACCUAAAAAACAAGUGUAAAUUCUUAGUGGUCAACCUAAUGCAGACAUUUUCCUAUGUUGGAGUUGAUAAAAGACAUCCCUAAUUAUGCCUGAAAAUUCCAAGUAACUGAACAUUAGUGAUCUCCAUGAUUCUGUCAUAGAUUAUCUAAACCAACUAGGGUAAUAUGGAUAUUUACUUUCCAGUUAUUAUUCAUUCCAAAAAUACAAAGAUACGAAAAUACUUAUUACCACUUUAUUAAUUAAUAUAUUGUACAAUUAGCAAAGCUAGUAAGGUUGACACCCCUGUUGCAAUUGUUGGGGGUCACAAAUAAUGUUUUGUUAGUAUUGCGGAAUUAAUUAUUGGUGUAGAAAACUUCUACAUCCUCAAAUACUUAGCUCUCAUUGGAAACUUAUUUCUUGUUACAAACCUCUGCACUUGAGGGCCCCAAUUCCUUACAUCCUAAUAAGACAUCAUUCGGUUGUAAGAAUCCCAACCCUUCCAUAUACUCUAGAUUUUUCUAUUUGCAUCCAUGUCUAAGUAUAUAUCACUAUAAUGAUAUUUCUUAUACCCAUCACCGUUAGAGUGUCUACUAAUUUCCUUUUGAGAUGUCAACUAAUAUAUUUAAGAAUAUGCAAAACAAAUAUGCAGUAUAUUUAUGGAAGUGUCACAAAUUAUUCAAGAAGCAUGUGAUUUGUCAUUUCUUUUUACAUUUGGAUUUAGGUAAUUAUGUUUUAAGAUUCAAUAUAUCAAAAUAUAUAACAUUGAAAAUAGAUUUGAAAUUAUCACGAUUCAAUAUUUGCGAUUUAACACAAAUAAUUAUAAACAAGUAUUAAAGUUUAGUAUAUAUGAAUUUCAAAAGACUGCAUGUAUGUGUCCGCCGGGCGACAGCAUAUCUGCCCGCUAGGUUUCAAAUGCAUAUUGUUUGCACAAGUUGUCAAGUGUCAUGUAUGAGAGGAGUGAAGUUGGCAAUGAAUCAAGCUAAUACUUCCAAUCAAAUAACCAACUUAUAGCUUAAUAUCAAAGUAGCAGCAAAAAAAAUAGGAGGCCCAAUUUAGCUACAUCCCAAACAGGAAUAGCACUGCUCCCUUGGUAGUUCAGCAAUCAGUAACAUUACAAAAAACAGGAAUAGCACUGCCAAAAGCAUUGAAAGCAUGCGCAGAAUUUUGUGGACACCGCCGCCAGUAGUUCUGAAAGGGAACUCUUCAUCAAAACGACUAAUGAAGUGUUCUGGAACACAAUAAGUGUUAGCCACACUUAAUACAGGUUCCUCGCUAGAGCACGCAAUCAUUAUUCUGUUCAUCAUCUCAGUCAGUUGAGCUACUGCAUAUGCCACACAUUCACCUGCACAAAAACAGAACAAGAAUGACUAGGUUAUACACAACAUAAGAGCAUUUACAAUAAAAGAAAUCACUUACAUAUAUUACUAGAUGAUUUAUAGGCAUUCGUAACAAAUAUUAAAAUAUAAAACUAGCACAUUACUACAAACAAGAAUUAGGACAAUGAAGAGUUAAUCAGCACAAAAUUGGUCAGGAGGAAGAACGAAAACUACCAUAGGCAGAACAAAUGUUGUACGACAGAUUUGAAAUGCACAAAAGAACUUACCAGGGUCGCCUACUUUGAUUUUCUGUUCUUUGACUUCACCCACAAUCGAAAUUCCAUUCAUCAAGACAGUUGCAAGGUUUAAACUAAAGUUAUUUGGGUUCUACAAGAAACAAGUUAUAAGUUUCAUUCGAGAGAAACAAAGUAACAAAAGAAAAAUAGAUGAAGGAACAAAUUCAUACCAUAGAUUAACAGCCAACACAGUACAAUGGUGGGAAAUCAAACACAAGGAAUCUUAUAGUUUUCAUCUUCUGAUGGCAAUGAGGACACUCCCAGCUUGGGACAUCACAUUCACUUCUAGUGCCAAAAACGAUUUCGACUCCAUUAAUUAUCUGGGGUUCCAUAGGACCUUGCAUGAGAUCUGCAAGAAAAAAAAUCAGAUGUACGAAAGUUAUAAUCUCGAGACUGGGUCAGAUGUACAAUUUGGGAGGAGAAGAGAUUAGAACCGCCGAUGGAUAACACCAUCUACCCUGGUUCGGGAUAAAAACUUGCAUGUAGAAAAAUAAAGAAACACAGCACCCCCCACCCUUUGUCUAAGAUGAGGGUUCGGUGACUGGAUUAUCUAGCGAAUCCGGAAAAUAAAGUUCCAAAUCAUCAACGCAAAAUCUACCAAAUCAAGACUCUUUUCGAUUCUUCUAAAGUAGAGUUGCAGAAGAUCCAAGGGGACAGAUCUAAAUUAGAGUAGGAUCCAAGAGGUCAGGUAUACCAAACUUGGGUAUUGAUUCUAGACUAUAGUUACAGAUAAGGAUUCAGAUCUACGAUUUGGGAACCGUAUCUACUCUAAACUAUUUAGGCCAACUCCACCGCGUGACUCCAAACGGACGUCCGUUUUGUCCGGUUUCUGUCCGUUUGGGUAGGGAUUUGGGGUCGUGUCCGGGCCUGUUCUGGGAUGCGGUGGCCGUGCGCCCACCGCGCGGACGCAUCCCGGCCGCAUCCUGUCCGCGUAUUAUUUCUUUGCAAGUCUUUAACUUUAUUUCAUCAUUCAUUUUUGGUACAUGGAAAAUGCAUCAUCACAUUUUAACUAGUAAAACAAGACCAAAGAAAAUAAAAACAACAAGAAUACAUUUUAGAAGAUAGCCAACUUCCAUAACUGCCCCCUUGAGUUGGGUUAGGGCCUUCUCGAUGCACUCAUUGCUGAUCUGUGGAGGAGGCUCGAUCUGGCAUCCUCCUUUUUUCUUCAAACCAGAAGUAGAUGUUGCUUCCUCAGACCUAGUCUCGUGUCUAGCCUCUAAUCUAGCAACAAGUGCACUUGUCUCAUUUACGGCCUCUAUGCUAGCUAAAAGUGCACGAACAUGUACUAAAUUUCUCUCUAUCAAUAUAUCGAUGUACUCUUCUUCCCAAUACCAAAACUUGCAUCCAUUCUACACAACAAAAUUUGAAGUUAGCACAACUAGUUAAAUCUAGAGCACAAACCGAUGCUAAAAAAAGCGCAUACCCCAUCGUUUAAGCACUUGAUGAACACCCAUCCGGGAUGUUCCGGCGUUGUAGACAUGCGGCGCACGACCAUCCUUGGGCAAUGGUCGCACUUAAUGAGUGGCAACGGUGCGCCGGUGAGCUUUUGGGCAAGCACCGAGCCCGGUCGGCCGCCAUUCGUGUAUCUGCCGGCGGACCACCGACGGUGCAGAUCCGAGCGGCUAGAGGAGGAGCCACUACCUGCAUGUGGCCUUGCGGCCCUGCCAGGGCCUUCCGGCGAGGUGCCCGGCCAGUCCAUGGCGCGGCCCGGCCUCCCUUAGCCGGCCGAGCUCAAGACCGACCGGAUCCGCCCCAAAACCGGCCGGCGGGUGCGCAAACCAGGUGGCCGUGGUCGCGUCCGAGCCCGGCGCCGAGGGGAAGGGAUUGGGCGAGCUCGUGUCCGAACUGCACGGCUGCAAUGGCAGCGGCGGCGGCAGCGACGGGAAAGAGUGGGGAAGAGUGGAGGGGGUGCGGCCGGAGGGAGGGAGGGGGGCGGAUAGAAAAAGGCCCAUCUUGUGCCACCGACGGGCGGGCCAGGGGAGGAUACGCGCAGACGACCCGCGUGUCCGCGCAGUGUCCGUUUCACCCCAAAACCAGCGCAAGUUUGGGCCGGGGAUGGGUCGAAAGCGGACACAAAGCAGACAAAUGUCCGUUUGCUCCCGCGCGCUGGGCCGCCUUUUUUUGUCUCUUUUACCCCAAACGGACGGGGCCGGACAGGAUAGGGUCGCGCGGUGGAGUUGGCCUUAGAGAUCACGGAUUCAGAUGUACGACUUGAGAACCAGGGGGAGGGGAUAGAAUGGGAUAAAAACCUCCAGUGGAACAAACAGCCCACGGCUCCGGGGGGCAGCGGGGGGCGGCUGAAGCUGCUGGAGCGGUGGAGGGAGAGAAGCCGUCGUGGGGGGUAUUUAUCUGCGUUAUGAUGAUGCGGGGCGGGCCUGGACAGCCGUUGGAUCUAGGGCAAAAUGGGCGGAUGCGGUGGCGUAUUCAGAGUAUGGGGCGUGGACGGCGGGCGUGCAGCGGGGUUACAAUCGAUCCUUUCACAACUCUCAUUUUCAUGGUGAGUCGAGUAAAUAAAAUACAAGAGUAUAUUUAUAAUAUUAAAGGACGGUAGAUUUCAUAGUUCUCCAUACAUCAUCCUGUUUAUAUCCGUUAAUUUUGUUUUAACUAUGAAGAUUGACGAUUGAGAUUUUCCAAAAUAAACGAAGGGUUAUGAGGUGUCUUCAGGUCGCAUCGCUGGUUCUGUCCGCUUGUCCAACACGUAACCAACACCGUAAAGCUAAUCCCCUUUGAUUUUCUCCUCCCAAAUCCCCAUGCCAGAUCCUUUUCAAAAAAAAAAAUCCCUUUGCCAGAUUUCUUCUCAAAUUGAAAAACAUGAGGUCAGCAAGAUGUAGCCAUUGGAGGGAGAGCGUAAGCAGAGGACGAGCCAGCCGGCUCGAGGUUCUCCGACGGCGAGUUUGACCACUUCCCUGGGAUGACGCAUGGCUUACCAUGACGAUCGGCGUAGGCGGGCACCUCAGCGGCUGCGGCUUCGGCCUGAUACUGCGGAAGCAUGGCCUCACCGCGGAUCACGUCGUCGAUGCCUUCAUGGUGGAUGCCAAUCCACCACGGGGAGUGUCGUGGUAUUUUCACGGCAGAUGUCCUCUUAGGACUUAGUCACGAGGCCAUCAGCGUCGAGUGGUACAUCAAAGGGGUUAAACGAGAGACACAAUGAUUACCUAGAUUCGGCCACUCUCGGUGGAGGUAAAAGCCUACUUCUGCUUGGAUUGCAUUGAUGAUCUCGAUUACAAGGCUUUCGCGUGGCUAACCUAGCAAUCGAGGGGUUCUAACUUGAUCUUUCUGACCCUGGGGCUCCCCUUUAUAUAUAGGGUGAGACAAGGGGCGUACAUUAGAGUUCGGGCCGGAAACAUGAUCCGUGCCCAAGUCUUUCUUGUCCUCUAAGGAAUAAUACAAUGGCGGUUCGCAAGUAGGCUUCUGUCGGCACGUCAUGGGCCGGCCCAUCCAGCGGGCGGCUUAUCCUUCUAGGCGAGUCUCCUGGAGGUCUUCGGCCCACCUGGCCUGGUCCAUCUUGUAAGUCGCCAUCAGCAUUGACCCGGCCCUAAACGGGCGGGUUAUAUCCUGUGAUUAUAUCCCCAACAUUAGCCCUCAGGUUGACUUGGAUUCAUUCAUGACAACCUUCGAAACCAUUGUCCUAUGCAGCUCGGCAAGCAAAAUCAAGGUGACUUCACUCGGCUUCUGUAAGUGAAUUGGUGCUUGUAGCUUGUAGUUAUGCUUGGUUUCCCUUAAUGAAAAUCAGAGGACACUUUCAUGGAAUGGUGGGACAAGGCUCGGAAGUCCUUUCAUGGUAAGCUCAAGAGAGGGUUUGACUCGUUUGUCAUCUUGACCGCGUGGCAUCUAUGAAAGCAAAGAAACGCAAGAGUGUUCAACAGGAUCGAUCAAGCGCGCACGGACACUAACCUUGUCUAGCUCAUCCAUGAGGAGAUCAAGCUUUGGAAGAAGGCGGGUAUAGGAGUUGAGGGCUUAGAUAGAUUUGUGAGAGAGUACUCUUUUGUGUCUUCUUUCGGAGUUGGAGUUCUGUGUAUCCCGUCUUAGCACGGGUUCUUGUAAAACAUUCUUUCUUCCUUCUAUAAAAAUACGGUACGCUUUUGGCGUACUCUCAAAAAAAAAUCAGAAGAGAAAUCCCUUUUUUUCUUUAAAACAGAUGAGUUCAUUCGUGCAAGGACGAGAACCGCCUUCAGGAGUGUUAGAGCAUCGACAACUGGCCUCCUCGAAUCCUUCCUUAAACGUCUACAGAAGUGUCGGAUCAUGAAAGAAAAGGAAAAAAGUGAUUUAAUCGAACCUCUCUAUCAUUUUUAUACAUUCGGGCUAUCCACGGACCCUCGUACCGAGACCAAAAUGUAGGUAGUACAUGAGGGCUCGCGGGCGCCUGGUCUGUUCACCACAUAAGACGCGAACUAUUCUUUCUUUUCUUUUCACUCUCUUCAUCUCAUCAAUCACAUGCAAGUGAUCGAACGAGAAAAUAUAAGCGUGACAAAGCGUUAGUACUACGGUGUACGGGAGAGGUAGAUCGGACAGGGGUACCCAUCGGACAGUGGGCGCCACUGGAACGUGGUGCCACCGAGUGCGAGUAGUAGAGCAUGUGCCAUUUUAAACUUGUUGUAUGCAGAAACAGAUUGAAUAAAGCAUGAUUAUAAGUCACCGACGUUUAUUAACCAGGCCUGGCUUUCGACUAUAAGUUGCCAGUAUGAUGAUAAAGUAUCUAGUAUUUAUUAACCCGGACUGGCCUGGUUUUGAUUAUAAGUCUCCAGUAUAUAUUUGGAUUGCGCCAUUGGAAUCAUGCGCUCAUAAAUCAUUGGAUUAUAUUAUUAAAAUCUUCAAAUAGCCAACAUGGCUGGAUUUUAUUAUGGUUAUCAGUAACCAGUGUUAUAAUUAAGGUUUUUAAAGUCGCUUUAGCGCAAUGUCUAUUAUGUUAUCAAUGGAUAUGAUUUAUUCUACAAUCGAAGGAAUAGUUCCGAGUCGCUGCAGGCUGACGACCAGGCAUUUGGGGGCUACAUUAUUCAAAUUGAGAUUACAUCAAAUAUUCAAGUCCCAUGUCACUGCCAGCAUGCACCAUGGCACUUGGGGGCUAAUGCAAAAUUAUUGUUUGCUCACCUUAUUGAAGACCCGACUCAUCACAUUGUAAUGAGCCGGCCCUUGGGAGCUACCAAUUGCUCUUGUUAACAAUUCAAGGUACACAAGUCUUAAACCAUUAUAUUGAAGUAUCCACUGCUAAGUUGGUAAAGCACAAAGCUCUUAACCUUGUGGACGUGGGUUCAAGCCCCAUGAUGGGAGUUGCAUCAUAUGACAUUCUUUUCAAAGAAGUAUAUAUAAAGUCCCAGCUCAGUAUUAUCUUACUAAGCCGGCCCUUGGGGGCUACAUGUUGCUGCUCCAGUUUACAAGAUUAUAUCUACAAAGUCUCUGUUCACAUAAUGACCCGACACUUAGGGGCUAAUGCAUAUUGCUUUUUUCUGAGGACAAUUCUAUGAUGACCCGGCUACACUAUUAUGACUAUAGCCGAUUCAUGGGGGCUACACAGAAGGAUUUUAUUUAAAGCCAUGGUGAUAAGUCCUGAAUUAUUCAUGCGGAUUAAACCGACCCUUGGGGGCUACAGGUGAUAUGAAUAUAAUGGAGGAACAUCUUCAAGUUCUCAGUUCUUGGAUAUCAUAUUUUCAGUUCUGGCUUGGAUAGCUCAGGAAAAUCAACUACAUAAUCCGGUGUGAGCAACAAUCAUGACCCGGCAUCAUUUGUUUAUAAUCCGGAGAUCUUGGCAAUCAUAAACCGGCAAGUCCUACAUCUUCAAGCCGGCUGAAAAUCAAGAUGAGUAUUUCAAAACCAAUAUUUUUGUCAAGCUGGAGUUUUGGAAGCCGAUUCAAAUGGAUUAUUUCUUAUAAUACUUCUCUACAAGAGACCAAUAUCAGUAAAUGGAUUAUGAAACUGGCUUAUUAACCCGGAUUUUCUAGAAGAAAGAAAUGACAAGGAUUUAAGGAUGAUCAAGAGCCGGUUUACAAGAAUUCUUAACCCGGAGCACAAUCUGUCAAAUUUGUUCUUGUUGGGGAACAUAGCAGAAAUUCAAAAUUUUCCUACGUGUCACCAAGAUCUAUCUAUGGAGAGACCAGCAACGAGGGGAAGGAGAGUUGCAUCUACGUACCCUUGUAGAUCGCUAAGCGGAAGCGUUCAAGUGAACGGGGUUGAUGGAGUCGUACUCGUCGUGAUCCAAAUCACCGAUGACCAAGUGCCGAACGGACGGCACCUCCGCGUUCAACACACGUACAGCCCGGUGACGUCUCCCACGCCUUGAUCCAGCAAGGAGAGAGGGAGAGGUUGAGGAAGACUUCAUCCAACAGCAGCACAACGGCGUGGUGGUGGUGGAAGAGCGUGGCUAUCCUGCAGGGCUUCGCCAAGCACCACAGAAGAGGAGGAAGAGAGAGAUGCAGGGCUGCACCAACGAGAGAUUGAAUCGCGUGUUGUGGGCAGCCCCCUAGGCCUCAUAUAUAUAGGGGAAGGGGAGGGCUGCGCCCCUUCUAGGGUUUCCCACCCCUAAGGGGGGGCGGCAGCCCUAGAUGGCCAAGGGGUGGCGGCCAAGGGAGGGGAGAAGGGGGAGGCGCCCCUAGGGUGGGCCUUAAGGCCCAUCUGGACCUAGGGUUUGCCUCCUCCGACUUCCCCUGCGCCUUGGGCCUUUGUGGGAGGCGCACCAGCCCACUAAGGGGCUGGUCCCUCACCACUCUUGGCCCACGCAACCUUCUGGGGUUGGUGGCCCCACUUGGUGGACCCCCGGGACCCUCCCGGUGGUCCCGGUACGUUACCGAUAAACCCCAAAACUCUUCCGGUGACCAAAACAAGACUUCCCAUAUAUAAAUCUUUACCUCCGGACCAUUCCGGAACUCCUCGUGACGUCCGGGAUCUCAUCCGGGACUCCGAACAACAUUCGGUAACCACAUACAAACUUCCUUUAUAACCCUAGCGUCAUCGAACCUUAAGUGUGUAAACCCUACGGGUUCGGGAGACAUGCAGACAUGACCGAGACGUUCUCCGGUCAAUAACCAACAGCGGGAUCUGGAUACCCAUGUUGGCUCCCACAUGUUCCACGAUGAUCUCAUCAGAUGAACCAUGAUGUCAAGGACUUAAUCAAUCCCGUAUACAAUUCCCUUUGUCUAUCGGUACGAUACUUGCCCGAGAUUCGAUCGUCGGUAUCCCGAUACCUUGUUCAAUCUCGUUACCGGCAAGUCUCUUUACUCGUUCCGUAACACAUCAUCCCGUGAUCAACUCCUUGGUCACAUUGUGCACAUUAUGAUGAUGUCCUACCAAGUGGGCCCAGAGAUACCUCUCCGUCACACGGAGUGACAAAUCCCAGUCUCGAUUCGUGCCAACCCAACAGACACUUUCAGAGAUACCCGUAGUGUACCUUUAUAGCCACCCAGUUACGUUGUGACGUUUGGCACACCCAAAGUAUUCCUACGGUAUCCGGGAGUUGCACAAUCUCAUGGUCUAAGGAAAUGAUACUUGCCAUAAGAAAAGCUUUAGCAUACGAACUACACGAUCUAGUGCUAUGCUUAGGAUUGGGUCUUGUCCAUCACAUCAUUCUCCUAAUGAUGUGAUCCCGUUAUCAACGACAUCCAAUGUCCAUGGUCAGGAAACCGUAACCAUCUAUUGAUCAACGAGCUAGUCAACUAGAGUCUUACUAGGGACAUGGUGUUGUCUAUGUAUCCACACAUGUAUCUGAGUUUCCUAUCAAUACAAUUCUAGCAUGGAUAAUAAACGAUUAUCAUGAACAAGGAAAUAUAAUAAUAAUAAAUUUAUUAUUGCCUCUAGGGCAUAUUUCCAACAGUCUCCCACUUGCACUAGAGUCAAUAAUCUAGUUCACAUCUCCAUGUAAUUAACACUCACAGGUCACAUCGCCAUGUGACUAACACUCAAGAGUUUACUAGAGUCAGUAGUCUAGCUCACAUCACUAUGUGAUUAACACUCAAUGAGUUCUAGGUUUGAUCAUGUUGCUUGUGAGAGAGGUUUUAGUCAACGGGUUUGAACCUUUCAGAUCCGUAUGUGCUUUACAAAUCUCUAUGUCAUCUCCUAGAUGUAGCUACCACGUUCUAUUUGGAGCUAUUCCAAAUAACUGUUCUACUAGGAGCUAUUCUAAAUUGUUGCUCCAUUAUACGUAUCUGGUAUCUCUACUCAGAGCUAUCCGGAUAGGUGUUAAGCUUGCAUCGACGUAACCCUUUACGACGAACUCUUUUUACCACCUCCAUAAUCGAGAAAAUUCCUUAGUCCACUAGUUACUAAGGAUAACAUUGACCGCUGUCCUGUGAUCCAUUCUUGGAUCACUCUUGUACCCCUUGACUGACUCAUGGCAAGGCACACUUUAGGUGCGGUACACAGCAUAGCAUACUGUAGAGCCUAUGACUUAAGCAUAGGGGACGACCUUCGUCCUUUCUCUCUAUUCUACCGUGGUCGAGCUUUAACUUCAUACCUUACAACUCAGGCAAGAACUCCUUCUUUGACUGAUCCAUCUUGAACACCUUCAAGAUCAUGGCAAGGAAUGUGCUCAUUUGAAAGUACCAUUAAGCGUUUUGAUCUAUCCUUAUAGAUCUCGAUGCUCAAUGUUCAAGUAGCUUAAUCCAGGCUUUCCAUUGAAAAACACUUUCAAAUAACCCUAUAUGCUUUCCAGAAAUUCUACAUCAUUUCUGAUCCAUAAUAUGUCAACAACAUAUACUCAUCAGAAAUUCUAUAGUGCUCCCACUCACUUCCUUGGAAAUACAAGUUUCUCAUAACCUUUGUAUAAAACCAAAAUCUUUGAUCAUCAUCAAAGCAUACAUUCCAACUCUGAGAUGCUUACUCCAGUCCUUAGAAGGAUUGCUGGAGCUUUGCAUACUUAUUAGCAUCUUUCAGGAUUGACAAAACCUUCCGGUUGUAUCACAUACAACCUUUCCUCAAAAAUCAUCGAGGAAACAAUGUUUUGACAUCCUAUCUGCAAGAUUUCAUAAACAAUGCAGUGACUGCUAAUAUAAUUCCAACAGACUCUUAGCAUCGCUACGAGUGAGAAAGUCUCAUCGUAGUCAACUCCUUGAACUUGUCGGGAAACUUCUAACGACAAGUCGAGCUUUCUUAAUGGUGACAUUUACCAUCAUUGUCCAUCUUCCUUUUAAAAUCCAUCUAUACUCAACAGCCUCACAGCCAUCGAGCUGUUCUGUCAAAGUCUACACUUUGUUUCCAUACAUGGAUCCUCUCUCGGAUUUUAUGGCCUCGAGCCAUUUAUCGGAAUCCGGGCCCACCAUCGCUUCUCCAUAGCUCGUAGGUCCAUUGUUGUCUAGCAACAUGACUUCCAAGACAGGAUUAUGUACCAUUCUGAAGUAGUACGCAUCCUUGUCAUCCGACGAGGUUUGGGAGUGACUUGAUCCGAUCAUCAAGUCUCCACCAUCCUCCCACUCAAUUCUUUCGAGAGAAACUUUUCCUCGAGAAAGGACCCGAUUCUAGAAACAAUCCCUUAUUGCUUUCGGAUCUGAGACAGAAGGUAUACCCAACUGUUUUGGGUGUCCUAUGAAGAUGCAUUUAUCCGCUUUGGGUUCGAGCUUAUCAGCCUGAAACUUUUUCACAUAAGCAUCGCGGCCCCAAACCUUUAAGAAAUGACAGCUUAGGUUUCUCUAAACCAUAGUUCAUACGGUGUCAUCUCAUCGGAAUUACGUGGUGCCCUAUUUAAAGUGAAUGUGGUUAUCUCUAAUGCCUAACCCAUAAACUAUUGUGGUAAUUCGAUAAGAGACAUCAUGGUAUGCAUCAUAUCCAAUAGGGUGCAGUUAUGAUGUUCGGACACACCAUCACACUAUGGUGUUCCAGGCUGUAUCGGUUGUGAAACAAUUUCCACAAUGUCUUAAUUUUGUGCCAAACUUGUAAUUCAGAUAUUCAUCUCUAUGAUCAUAUCAUAGAUAUUUUAUCCUCUUGUCACAACGAUCUUUCAACUUCACCCUGAAAUUACUUGAACCUUUCAAUAAUUCAGACUCGUGAUUCAUCAAGUAAAUAUUCUCAACAUCUACUCAAAUCAUCUAUUUAGUAAAAACAUAACGAUAUCCACUACACGCCUCAGCACUCAUUGGACUGCACACAUCAAAAUGUAUUACUUCCAGCAAGUUGCUUUCUAGUUCCAUUUUACUGAAACCGAGGCUUUCAGUCAUCUUGCCCAUGUGGUAUGAUUUGCAUGUCUCAAGUGAUUCAAAAUCAAGUGAGUCCAAACGAUCCAUCAACAUGGAGCUUCUUCAUGCGUUUUAUACCGAUAUGACUUACGUGGCAGUGCCACAAGUAGGUGGUACUAUCUUUUGGCAUGAACAUGUGUAUCACUACGAUCGAGAUUCAAUAAACCAUUCAUUUUAGGUGUAAGACCAUUGAAGGUAUUAUUCAAAUAAACAGAGUAACUAUUAUUCUCCUUAAAUGAAUAACCGUAUUGCAAUAGACAUAAUCCAAUCAUGUCUAUGCUCAACGCAAACACCAAUCUCAAUGGUAGAGGGAGCGUACGAUGCUUGAUCAUAUCAACAUUGGAAACACUUCCAACACAUGUCGUCAGCUCACCUUUAGCUAGUCUCCGUUUAUUCCGUAGCUUUUAUUUCGAGUUACUAACACUUAGCAACCGAACCGGUAUCUAAUACCCUGGUGCUACUAGGAGUACCAGUAAAGUACACAUCAACACAAUGUAUAUCUAAUAUACUUCUAUCGACCUUGCCAGCCUUCUAAUCUACCAAGUAUCUAGGGUAAUUCCGCUCCAGUGGCUGUUCCCCUUAUUACAGAAGCACUUAGUCUCGGGUUUGGGUUCAACCUUGGGUUUCUUCACUAGAGCAGCAGCUGAAUUGCCGUUUCAUGAAGUAUCCCUUCUUGCCCUUGCCCUUCUUGAAACUAGUGGUUUCACUAACCAUCAACAAUUGAUGCUCCUUCUUGAUUUCUACUUUGUGGUGUCAAACAUCGCGAAUAACUCAAGGAUCAUCAUAUAUGUCCCUGAUAUAUUAUAGUUCAUCACGAAGCUCUAGCAGCUUGGUGGUAAUGACUUCGGAGAAAUAUCACUAUCUCAUCUGGAAGAUCAACUCCCACUCGAUUCAAAUGAUCGUUGUACUCAGACAAUCUGAGCACAAGCUCAACAAUUGAGCUUUUCUCCCUUAGUAUGUAGGCUAAGAAAAUCGUCGGAGGUCUUAUACCUCUUGACGUGGGCACGAGCCUGAAAUCCCAAUUUCAGCCCUCGAAACAUCUCAUAUGUUUCGCGACGUUUCAAAAUGUCUUUGGUGCCUCAAUUCUAAACCGUUUAACUGAACUAUCACGUAGUUAUCAAAAUGUGUAUGUCAGAUGUUCGCAACAUCCACAGACAACGUUCGAGGUUCAGCACACUGAGCGGUGCAUUAAGGACAUAAGCCUUCUAUGAAGCAAUGAGGACAAUCCUCAGUUUACGGACCUAGUCCGCAUAAUUGCUACUAUCAUCUUUCAACUAAUUUUUCUCUAGGAACAUACCUAAACAGUAGAACUAAAGCGUGAGCUACGACAUAAUUUGUAAAAUCCUUUUGACUAUGUUCAGGAUAAUUAAGUUCAUCUUAUGAACUCCCACUCAGAUAGACAUCCCUCUAGUCAUCUAAGUGAUUACAUGAUCCGAGUCAACUAGCCCGUGUCCGAUCAUCACGUGAGACAGACUAGUCAACGUCGGUGAACAUCUUCAUGUUGAUCGUAUCUUCUAUAUGACUCAUGCUCGACCUUUCGGUCUUCUGUGUUCCGAGGCCAUGUCUGUACAUGCUAGGCUCGUCAAGUUAACCCUAAGUGUUUUGCGUGUGUAAAUCUGUCUUACACCCGUUGUAUGUGAACGUUAGAAUCUAACACCCGAUCAUCACGUGGUGCUUCGAAACACGAACUGUCGCAACGGUGCACAGUUAGGGGAGAACACUUCUUGAAAUUGUUGUAAGGGAUCAUCUUAUUUACUACCGUCGUUCUAAGCAAAUAAGAUGUAUAAACAUGAUAAACAUCACAUGCAAUCAAAUAGUGACAUGAUAUGGCCAUCAUCACUUUGCUCCUUUUGAUCUCCAUCUUCGGGGCUCCAUGAUCAUCAUCAUCACCGGCAUGACACCAUGAUCUCCAUCAUCAUGAUCUCCAUCAUCGUGUCUUCAUGAAGUUGCCUCGCCAACUAUUACUUCUAAUACUAUGGCUAACGGUUAGCAAUAAAGUAAAGUAAUUACAUGACAUUUAAGUUGACACGCAGGUCAUAAAUAAAUAAAGACAACUCCUAUGGCUCCUGCCGGUUGUCAUACUCAUCGACAUGCAAGUCGUGAUUCCUAUUACAAGAACAUGAUCAAUCUCAUACAUCACAUAUAUCAUUCAUCACAUCCUUUGGCCAUAUCACAUCACAUAGCAUACCCUGCAAAAACAAGUUAGACGUCCUCUAAUUGUUGUUUGCAUGUUUUACGUGGCUGCUAUGGGUUUCUAGCAAGAACGUUUCUUACCUACGCAAAGACCACAACGUGAUAUGCCAAUUGCUAUUUACCCUUCAUAAGGACCCUUUUCAUCGAAUCCGAUCCGACUAAAGUGGGAGAGACAGACACCCGCCAGCCACCUUAUGCAACUAGUGCAUGUUUGUCGGUGGAACCGGUCUCACGUAAGAGUACGUGUAAGGUUGGUCCGGGCCGCUUCAUCCCACGAUGCCGCCGAAUCAAGAUAAGACUAGUAACGGCAAGCAUAUUGAACAAAAUCAACGCCCACAACUACUUUGUGUUCUACUCGUGCAUAGAAUCUACGCAAUAGACCUAGCUCAUGAUGCCAUUGUUGGGGAACAUAGCAGAAAUUCAAAAUUUUCCUACGUGUCACCAAGAUCUAUCUAUGGAGAGACCAGCAACGAGGGGAAGGAGAGUUGCAUCUACAUACCCUUGUAGAUCGCUAAGCGGAAGCGUUCAAGUGAACGGGGUUGAUGGAGUCGUACUCGUCGUGAUCCAAAUCACCGAUGACCAAGUGCCGAACGGACGGCACCUCCGCGUUCAACACACGUACAACCCGGUGACGUCUCCCAUGCCUUGAUCCAGCAAGGAGAGAGGGAGAGGUUGAGGAAGACUUCAUCCAAUAGCAGCACAACGGCGUGGUGGUGGUGGAAGAUCGUGGCUAUCCUGCAGGGCUUCGCCAAGCACCACAGAAGAGGAGGAAGAGAGAGAUGCAGGGCUGCACCAACGAGAGAUUGAAUCGCAUGUUGUGGGCAGCCCCCUAGGCCUCAUAUAUAUAGGGGAAGGGGAGGGCUGCGCCCCUUCUAGGGUUUCCCACCCCUAAGGGGGGGCGGCAGCCCUAGAUGGCCAAGGGGUGGCGGCCAAGGGAGGGGAGAAGGGGGAGGCGCCCCUAGGGUGGGCCUUAAGGCCCAUCUGGACCUAGAGUUUGCCUCCUCCCACUUCCCCUGCGCCUUGGGCCUUUGUGGGAGGCGCACCAGCCCACUAAGGGGCUGGUACCUCACCACUCUUGGCCCAUGCAACCUUCUGGGGUUGGUGGCCCCACUUGGUGGACCCCCGGGACCCUCCCGGUGGUCCCGGUACGUUACCGAUAAACCCCGAAACUCUUCCGGUGACCAAAACAGGACUUCCCAUAUAUAAAUCUUUACCUCCGGACCAUUCCGGAACUCCUCGUGAUGUCCGGGAUCUCAUCCGGGACUCCGAACAACAUUCGGUAACCACAUACAAACUUCCUUUAUAACCCUAGCGUCAUCGAACCUUAAGUGUGUAGACCCUACGGGUUCGGGAGACAUGCAGACAUGACCGAGACGUUCUCCGGUCAAUAACCAACAGCGGGAUCUGGAUACCCAUGUUGGCUCCCACAUGUUCCACGAUGAUCUCAUCGGAUGAACCAUGAUGUCAAGGACUUAAUCAAUGCCGUAUACAAUUCCCUUUGUCUAUCGGUACGAUACUUGCCCGAGAUUCGAUCGUCGGUAUCCCGAUACCUUGUUCAAUCUCGUUACCGGCAAGUCUCUUUACUCGUUCCGUAACACAUCAUCCCGUGAUCAACUCCUUGGUCACAUUGUGCACAUUAUGAUGAUGUCCUACCAAGUGGGCCCAGAGAUACCUCUCCGUCACACGGAGUGACAAAUCCCAGUCUCGAUUCGUGCCAACCCAACAGACACUUUCAGAGAUACCCGUAGUGUACCUUUAUAGCCACCCAGUUACGUUGUGACGUUUGGCACACCCAAAGUAUUCCUACGGUAUCCGGGAGUUGCACAAUCUCAUGGUCUAAGGAAAUGAUACUUGACAUAAGAAAAGCUUUAGCAUACGAACUACACGAUCUAGUGCUAUGCUUAGGAUUGGGUCUUGUCCAUCACACCAUUCUCCUAAUGAUGUGAUCCCGUUAUCAACGACAUCCACUGUCCAUGGUCAGGAAACCGUAACCAUCUAUUGAUCAACGAGCUAGUCAACUAGAGGCUUACUAGGGACAUGGUGUUGUCUAUGUAUCCACACAUGUAUCUGAGUUUCCUAUCAAUACAAUUCUAGCAUGGAUAAUAAACGAUUAUCAUGAACAAGGAAAUAUAAUAAUAAUCAAUUUAUUAUUGCCUCUAGGGCAUAUUUCCAACAGUUCUGGUGUUUAUUUUGCAGGAUCAGUUUAACAUGGAUGAAUCCAAAUUAAACUAGGGGCUAAUGUCGGGGAUAUACCCCGCGGUAAACCGGCCGGAUGUAUAACCCGGCUGAAGAACGGUGCUUCAUUGCUGACCCGUCCGGAGCUUGGCGACUCAUGGCUAUCCUACCCUGGAUUGGCGUAACCCGGCGGGUGGGUCAGACGGAUGACAAGGCCCAAGGCCUAGAAGGCCGGUUCAUGUUAUGGUGGGCCGGUUUAAGAGAAAAGGCAUAAGGAAUAUUCCCCUACAAAGGAAGCAAGACUAGGACUCCACUUUUAAUAAAGUAAUUCUAAUCCUAAUAGGACUAGUCAUGUAACCCGCCCCUUCAACAUAUAUAAGGAGGGGCAGGGCUCCCAAAAGAGGGACAAGCAAAGAAGAAGCAAUCUCUAGGGCUAGACACAAAGAGCCGGUUUACCGGCGACUUCCUUAUGAUGAUAAUGAGACCUAGCCACCAACAGCAUGUAGGGUUGUUACCGGAUGAUGUUUCCCGGGGCCCGAAGCUGUCUAAAUCCUCGUCUUGUGUGUUGAUCCGCCCUGCGUCUCUCAUCACAAUCAACUCCUCUCAAGCUAUCACAUAGAUGCGUUGGCUUCACGAGUAAGUCCUGGCACUAAGGACAUCUGCCGUGACAAUUCCACGACACCCUCCGUUUCUAAAUAUAACUUUUUUUGGACAUUUCAAAUGGACUACAACAUACAAAUGUAUGUAGACAUAUUUUAGAGUGUAGAUUUACUCAUUUUGCUCUAUAUGUAGUCACUUGUUGGAAUCUCUAGAAAGACUUGUAUUUGGGAACGGAGGGAGUAGUACUAUCCCGUCCAGAAAUAAAUGCCACUUGAACCGAUAUACCUAGCAGCGUUUGAGUGUCAUUUAUUUCCGGACAGAGGGAGUAAUACUCCCUCCGUUCCUAAAUAUAUGUCCUUUUAGAAAUUUCAGUAUAGAUUACAUAGGAAACAAAAUGAGUGGAUCUAUACUUUACAUCCGUAUGUAAUCCAUAUUAAAAUCUCUAUAAAAGACAUAUGUGUGGGAACGGAGGGAGUAUAACGUAAGGGUGAAUCAAAAUCAAUUCUGAUAUCAAUAUAAGUAUCCCAAACCCAGGGCUCAGUUUCUCAAGGAGUCUGUCAUUCUGUUAGUCUUCAUAACAUGUGCACCAAUGCUAGCAGCCAUUUCAAAAUGAGUCCCGCUUCGGUACAACCCCCCUCCAAAACGUAUAAAGGACAAUAUAGUCUUUUCACGCAUCGUAUCCUUUUUCAUAAGCAUGUUCCGUUGCAUGCCGUAUGUACGAGGAGCCCAUUUAUGUGCUAACACCCACAGGUUGGCCCAUUAAUAUUUUUUUUAAUAUUCAAAACAGAUGCGGGUAGUGUGAUUCGAACUCAUUACCACAUUGUAUUCAUACAGUGCACUAACUAAGUGGUAGAGCUGACGCUGGCGUACAGACGGCGGGCGGGUCAGACGGAUGACAAGGCCCAAGGCCUAGAAGGCUGGUUCAUGUUAUGGUGGGCCGGUUUAAGAGAAAAGGCAUAAGGAAUAUUCCCCUACAAAGGAAGCAAGACUAGGACUCCACUUGUAAUAGAGUAAUUCUAAUCCUAAUAGGACUAGUCAUGUAACCCGCCCCUUCAACAUAUAUAAGGAGGGGCAGGGCUCCCAAAAGAGGGACAAGCAAAGAAGAAGCAAUCUCUAGGGCUAGACACAAAGAGCCGGUUUACCGGCGACUUCCUUAUGAUGAUAAUGAGACCUAGCCACCAACAGCAUGUAGGGUUGUUACCGGAUGAUGUUUCCCAGUGCCCGAAGCUGUCUAAAUCCUCGUCUUGUGUGUUGAUCCGCCCUGCGUCUCUCAUCACAAUCAACCCCUCUCAAGCUAUCACAUAGAUGCGUUGGCUUCACGACUAAGUCCUGGCACUAAGGACAUCUGCCGUGACAAUUCCACGACACCCUCCGUUUCUAAAUAUAACUUUUUUUGGACAUUUCAAAUGGACUACAACAUACAGAUGUAUGUAGACAUAUUUUAGAGUGUAGAUUUACUCAUUUUGCUCUAUAUGUAGUCACUUGUUGAAAUCUCUAGAAAGACUUGUAUUUGGGAACGGAGGGAGUAGUACUAUCCCGUCCAGAAAUAAAUGCCACUUGAACCGAUAUACCUAGCAGCGUUUGAGUGUCAUUUAUUUCCGGACAGAGGGAGUAGUACUCCCUCCGUUUCUAAAUAUAUGUCCUUUUAGAAAUUUCAGUAUAGAUUACAUAGGAAAUAAAAUGAGUGAAUCUAUACUUUACAUCCGUAUGUAAUCCAUAUUAAAAUCUCUAUAAAAGACAUAUGUGUGGGAACGGAGGGAGUAUAACGUAAGGGUGAAUCAAAAUCAAUUCUAAUAUCAAUAUAAGUAUCCCAAACCCAGGGCUCAGUUUCUCAAGGAGUCUGUAAUUCUGUUAGUCUUCAUAACAUGUGCACCAAUGCUAGCAGCCAUUUCAAAAUGAGUCCCGCUUCGGUACAACCCCCCUCCAAAACGUAUAAAGGACAAUAUAGUCUUUUCACGCAUCGUAUCCUUUUUCAUAAGCAGGUUCGGUUGCAUGCCGUAUGUAUGAGGAGCCCAUUUAUGUGCUAACACCCACAGGUUGGCCCAUUAAUAUUUUUUUUAAUAUUCAAAACAGAUGCGGGUAGUGUGAUUCGAACUCAUUACCACAUUGUAUUCAUACAGUGCACUAACCAAGUGGUAGAGCUGACGCUGGCGUACAGACUAGAACUUUUCUUAUUCUUAUGCUAUAAACAACUCGUGAACAACCUAUGUACCCAUGCGUUCUACAAAUGUUUCUCGGCCGCAGCUGUGCCCUCAGACGUGACGUAAACAAGAAAGGCAACACCUUGUUUAAAUUUUUUUUCCGGUUUUGUCUAGCCAUUUUUCUACUGUUUUUUUCUCGAUCUUCUUCUCUUUUUUCAUUUUCUUUUCCUUUCUAAAAUUCACGAAUUUUUUGUAAAAUCCAGAAAUUUUCAUAAAUUCAUGAACUGUGUUUUAAGUCCGUGUCUAAUUUCUUAAACUUGUGAACUUUUUCUGAAAUCACUGAUUUUUUGCAAAUACAUGAACGAUUUUCAGAUCCACGAACCUGUCUCAAUUUUUACAAACUUUUUCUAAAACCCAUGAUUUUUUUCCAAAAACUCGUGCGAACAAUCUAUGUCCGAGCGAGAGGAAAGAUGAACGAGAAGGAAAUAGCCAUUUCCUCUGCUUGUCAUAAGCAUCGGUCUUCAAUGUACUCUUUGUUUAGGAUAUGGACUGCUACCAUGAAUAUUCACUAGUUUCGAACUAGGAAGGUUCAUACAAACAGUUCGUAUUCUUCAAAAUGAGAGCAUUGAUGACUGUUGUAUUGUUUUAAAAUUAACUUUUUUUGGUUCUUGUAUUAUUUGUCCUGUGACACAUUUUUUGUCACGUAGCAUUUUUUCACAUCCAUCAAGUGGAUCCAUUUAUUUCCCGUAGUAUUCUAUCAUCAUGGCAAGCAUCCAUGCCAAGUUUUAUUAUGUUUUGUUAUUCUAUGUAUUUUCUAGGGUUUUCUCAGUGGAAAGUCCCUAAAAUACUUACCGCACGUGACGCAACGUAUGUUUACUGUCCGAAUUCAUUCAAUUUUUGCGUGGAGUACUAGGGUGACCAUAUUUAUUCAUAUUUAUCGCAAUGUUACAAAAUGUGCAGCAUAUUUAUUUAUUUAUUCAUAUUUUUCAAAAAGUUUGAAAAUAUCAAAAAAUGGUCGCAUUUUUAGAAAAAAAAUCAGAUUUUUAAAAUUGUUUGUAUUUCCAAAUAUUAUUCUGAAUUUUAAAAAAAUCUUGGUUUUCAAAAUUUAUUCAGAGUUUAAACUCUGUUCUACUUUUCGGAAAAUUUGUAUGCAUGUUAAAAAAAUCAAUUUUGAAUUUCUUUUGCGUUCAAAAAAGUCACAUUCAAAAUUCUAAAAAAUUGUUCAGCUAUGUCGCUGUUAAUAGUUUUAAGAUACCGCGCUGCUCCUUUGUCAUUAUAGUUGGGUCAGUCUAGUGGUUGGCUCAUGUGCAAGGUCCUAUGUUCAAUACCUGACGCGUGCACAUUUUUUUAGGAUUUUCCAGUGUUUCAGAUAGACCGACUUGCUGUUGGGCCGGCCCAGGCUACUGUUUUUUUUUGCAGGGAGCCCAGGCUACUGUUAGCCGCUGUUUAUUUUCGCGAGCUGUCUCAAAAAUAAACGUCGCUGACGUAUUUUUAAAAAAAGACCAUCAUACCCUUUAUUGUAAAGGGGUAUGAAGAAAUCUUCUCCGUUGAUGUGUUUAGGGGGGGUUGUACCGAAGCAGAAGUGUUUCAAAAUACACACAAACACUUAAACUUUUCCGGUUUUUAGUAAAUUUACUACAAGUGACAAAAAUGGUUGAUCGAACAACGGUAAAUAGGGAUUUUGAAUUGCUCGUUGCAAAAUAAAAAUCAAUGACCUCUUCGUACAUUGCUUAUCAUAGGAGUAGUAGAGUAGAGAAAACACAAACAAAAUUCAAAAUGAUUGAAAAGUUUUUGCAGCUUUUUUUGGGGGAGUGGGAUGGUGUUCGACUUUGGACAUUCGAUCUUUAGAAAACAAUGCUCCUUGUGUGCUAUUUUCUGUACGUCUCGGCGCUACUGUUUCAUUGGAAGCUGAACAUUUUUUAUGAAGGCCCAGCUGUACAUGUACUCAGAAUCAAUGCCCUCGGUAUCCUCGAUCCAAAGAAAAAUACUUAAAACAUGGGUACACUAUUGCAACACAUAGACCAAUUAAGAACCUUUAACUGCCGUUUGCAGAGAAACAAGAGUUCUUUUUUUCUUCUGUAAAAAGAAACAAAGUCCUUAAUUUUCUGUGAAUGUUGUUAGUAUUUCUGUUUUAACAACUAUUUCUAAUUAUUUUUUUGCACAUACACAAACUUUCUAACUCCAAGCAUGCAUACGUCGAAUAAAACCAGGUAUCUCAUUGUGAUGGAUGAUGUAUGGAGCCUACCAGCCUGGGAAGCUAUCUGGAACAUAUUUCCAAAGAGUAAUUGCGGCAGCAGAAUCACUGUGACAACUCGGAUAAAGGAAGUGGCUGUGGCAGCUAGUGCCGACUUUGUCCAUCACAUGGAGCCCCUAGAAAGAGAAGCAUCUGAGAAACUAUUUGUCAAAAGAGUGUUUAGCUCCACAAAGCUGGGUGAUUGCCCCACAGAACUUAAAGAAACCAUGGAUAUAAUUUUGAAAAAAUGUGGUGGGUUGCCGUUGGCCAUCGUUAGCAUCGCCAGCCUUCUGCCAAGCUCUACGUCAGCUGAGAGCAUAGAUAUGUGGAAACAAGUUUCUAGAUCAAUUGGUUCUGAUAUGGAAAGCAACCGUACCCUCGAGGGGAUGAGGCAGUUGAUUACACUCAGCUAUGACUACCUACCUCAUUAUCUGAAGGCUUGCAUGAUGUAUGUGAGCAUUUUCCCGGAGGAUUAUAUGAUUGCCAAGGAUAGACUGCUAUACAGAUGGAUUGCUGAGAGUAAAUGGCACUGGUGGUCUGAGAACUUGCGUUGCGGGUGCACUUAAGUCACGGUACUUGUAAACUGGAAAAACCCGUCAUAGAACUUGCAUUGCGGGUGCAGAUAGGUCACAUAUGCCAUCUAAACCGGCCAGCUGUCCUAUUUUCGAGAAAAAACCCGUCAUAGAACUUGCGUUGCGGGUGCAAAUAGGUCACAUUUCAAAAUUUUUGUUCCCGGACAUUUUUUCAAAGUCACGAAUCACAAAUAUUUUUAAUAAAUAUUUUUUAAUUUAUCGUCCGAGAACAAUUUUUUUAAAGUCAUGAAUCACAAACAUUUUUUUAAAUGUUCACCACUUAAAACAAAUGUUCGCAAAUCACAAAUAUUUUUCAAAUUUAUCAUUUGCAAACAUUUUUUAAAGUCGUGAACAAAUUUUUUUUUAAAGUCACGAAUCAUAAAUAUUUUUGAAUUUGUCAUUCGCGAAAUUUUUUUAGAGUCGUGAAUCACAAUUUUUUAUUGUUCACAGCUUUAAAAAAUGUUCAUGAAUCAAAAUAUUUUUCAAAUUUAUCGUUCUCGACCUUUUUUUAAUGCCGUGAAUAAAUACUUUUCAAAUUAAUCAUUCCUGAACAUUUUUAAAUUUAUCAUUCAAAAACAUUUUCAAAUUUUUCGUUCCUGGACAUUUUUUUAAAGUCACUAAUCACAAAUAUUUUUAAUUUAUCAUUCGCGAACAUUUUUUUAAAGUUGCGGAUCACAAAUAUAUUUUUUGAACCGUCCGCGAACAUUUUUUAAAGUCGUGAACAAAUAGUUUUCAAAUUUAUCGUUCACGAACAUUUUUUUAAAGUCACGAAUCACAUAUAUUUUUAAAGUCGUGAACAAAUUUAUCGCGCUUGACCGUUAGAAGGAGAAAACCGGGCAGCUAGCCGGUUCAGAUGACCUGUGUGACCUAUCUGCACCCCUAAUGCAAGUUCUAUGACGGGUUUUUCCGGUUUGCAAGUACGGUGACUUAAGUGCACCCGUAGCGCAAGUUCUCGGACCGCCGGUGCCAUUUACUCGAUUGCUGAAGGUCUGGUCACUGAGAAACGUGGCUUGACUUUGUUGGAGGUUGCAGAAGAAUACUUCAACGAGUUGAUAAGUAGGAAUAUGAUUCAACUAGACAAGUUUGUGUACCAGUUAAAAGAUUCUAGAGAAGUGGAGGUACAGGGGUGCCGGGUGCACGACAUGAUCCUUGAGGUCAUGGUGUCCAAAUCCCAUGAGUCUAACUUUGUUAGCUUGGUAGGGUGUGAAUUUGAAGGGAAGACAGAUGGACAUGGCAAGGUCCGCCGCCUCUCCAUCCAUGAUAACGACCAUGACGAGCAUCAUCAUUCAAGGCAUGGUGUUGAAGCGAUGAAGCUACAGCAUGUCCGGUCAUUGACCACAUUUCAACGUGUUGGCCUUGCCAAGCUGCUGGAUCGCCUAGGUGAGUUCAAAUUGCUGAGGGUACUUGACCUGGAAGAUUGCACAUCCAUGAGAAACAAACACAUGAGAGAUGUCUGCCGUCUGUAUCUUCUCAGGUUCUUGAGCUUGAGGGGUACAGGAGUCAAAAUAAUGCCUCGCAAAGUUGGCAAUCUAGAGCACUUGGAGACUCUUGAUGUACAACACUCUCAUCAAGAAGUUACCACGGACUGUGAUAAAGUUAAGCAAACUAGAGCGCCUAUGGGCCAAUAGUUGGAAUCUGCCUCGAGGGAUCUCGAAGAUGAAAGCAUUGCGCGAGGAGGACACAGGAGUCCUUGAUGUUCCAUCGGUUGCUCAAGAGAUUGGUAAGCUGACGCAGUUGCAGUUGCUCAGUAUUAUAAUCCAUGCGGAAGUCAGUGAUGGGUGUUUGACAAACCUUGCCUCCUCCCUGAGCAAGACAAGCAGUCUCCUAUUGCUAAAUCUGAAAUUCGAGGGGAGUGUGAGCCGUUUGAAGUUUCUCGAUGCCGUCUCCACGCCGCCGCCAUUUCUCCAAUGCCUUGGUGUGUUUGGCCGAGACAUUAGCCAAUUGCCCGACUGGAUCUCAUCACUCACACACCUCACAAGGAUUGAAGUGGGAAAGACAAAAGAACUUGAUGGGGACAAGUUACUUGAUGUCUUGUGUAAGGUGCCCAAACUGGCGAAUGUCCGUCUAAAAGACAUUGAGUGCAAAGACGGAGGAGAACUGGUUGCACGCCCCGAACACAAGUUCCUGGUGCUGAGGAUCCUGAAGGUGAUCGGAUGUUCGAGCAAGCUCACUUUCGAGAAAAGAUCAAUGCCAAUGCUGGAGACGCUCGUGUUACUUUUUUUUUGACAAGAAGAUGAGCAUUGUUGGCCUCGAGAACUUGGACAACCUUAAAGAGGCCAGGCUCAGUGGUAUUAAAGACCACCCGGAAAUGGAACAUGCUGUGAAGCAGCUCAAGACUCACCCCAACUCCAAUCAGAUCAAAGUUGUAGUGGAGCGGUGGCUCUGAGGUGAGCAUCUUAGGGGGCUGCUGCUCCUGUUCGUUUUCUACGGCCUUAAUCGGAGUGUCACUAGCAAAAAAAGAAAAAAAAACUGUGUGUGUGUGUGUGUGUGUGUGUUGUGUGUGUGUGUGUGUGUGUGUGUGUGUGUGUGUGAGUGUCACUAGCUAAAUUAUGUUCAGAGUUCAGACUCGACCGAGCAUUUAUUUGUACUGUGGUUUUUCAUGUGUGUGAACUGGAUCACUGGAGUGCCAAAUAAAGCAGCUUCUAUGUGUAACGUGAGCAUAAUUCUGCAAACUAUCUCAUCUUUUUUGUUGUUACCUGUGAAGAAGACGGGCUCCUAAGUGAGCUGUUGGUUUGGCCCAGACUAUGCCUUUUGUGGAUGACAUGCUGCCUAAGAUGUACUCCCUCCAUUCCUAAAUAUUUGUCUUUCUAAACAUUUUAAGUGGACUACAACAUACGGAUGUAUGUAGACAUAUUUUAAAGUAUAGAUUCACUCGUUUUACUUCGUACGUAGUCAUUUGUUGAAAUUUCUAUAAAUAUAAAUAUUUGGAAACGAAGGGAGUAGCUGGUAAUGUGAGCGCUGACUCUCUCAGCUCCUUUUUCUCACGGCUGCAUGCUUCACAUAGCCAACUCAAGAACAAUGGAGUAACAUGUAUUUGACUAUCUCAGCUCCUUUCUUUACCACACCUAAGUACAACGCACGCACUUACCAAGGCCACUAACAAACCUCUUCACAAGGCCACUAACAUCAGCUCCAACUUGUGCAGGUCGUUGGCUUCAGAGCUUCAUGCAUCACCGUCUCACACGGCAAGCUUGGACUUUCUCCAUGCAUGCUCUCAGAACUGAAACGGCACAGCUUGGACUUUCUCUAUGCAUGCUCUCAGAACUGAAACAUCCAACUCGUACGCACGUACCUCCGCACAGACACACUACUACAUGCAGUAAGAAAAUAAACAUGCAGAUACAGAAAACAUCAAGAUUACAUCUCACAGGUAACAACAGCGGAUGGCCUUGACUGUGUCGCUUUCGGUAUAAACCGAGUUGAGUUCUGGCUUCGGGUUCUGAACGUCCAAGUGAUGAACUGAGACGGCAAUGGAAGAUUUUUCUUUUUUGUUUGCGGAUAGAUAGAUAAUGCUAUAUAUGAGCAUAGGUUCAUUGAAGUCUGUAUUUAUACAUCGCAUCACAUCCACCCACAAUUUGCAGAAGCAAUGAAGCUGCAUAUAUACAUGGAUCACAUCCACCCAUCGGAUCACAUCUAUUGAGAAAUUACAUAUAUUUUUGUAUUUUAAAAAGAGGGCUCCUCUCGGAUUUCAUGCAUCAACGGAACCAAUGUCUUCUACAAACUAUAAAAGCAAGACCAGAAAAGAAAAAUGAGAAGCAGGAACAUCAUCUUGCCAAGAGACUGCUUGACCCGCACUGGGGCGGCAAACUUCCCACUAACAUAUAGAAUAACCAUAUACUCCAUAUAGAAUAACCAUAUGCUCGACAAGUAUAACACAAAUCAAUAAAAACUACUCCAUCCGAUCCAUAAUAAGUGUCGCGGUUUUGAACUAAGGUCGAACUAAUCUAAUUUCAAACUUGCGACACUUAUUUUGGAUCGGAGGGACUACUACAUAUGCAGCGACUAGUGAAAAAUCUCAGGACAAGUGUGUGUGCGGCUGCUAUGAAAGGAUGUCUUCAUUGAAAUGUUCAUUGCAGAUACUAGCCCCACCGAGACCUCCUCUGCCGCCGGCCGAAGCAGCAGAGGAGGUGGAGGCCGACGUGGUGGCCGCGGCUCCCACUGUGGUGACGCCCCCUCUGCCGGCGGUUGCGGCGGACGCUGUUUGGGCUUUGGCAGCUGUGAAGAUACCUACCACCGGUCCAAGGAAGUCCAAUGCAAACGAAGUUGUAUCUGACAAAGGCAGUGACAAGGCUGAAGGUGAAAAAUUAUCUAAGUGGGCAAUCAAAAAGAAAAAGGCUGACUUCCUAUAGGUGCGGUGAGCCAGGACAGUUUGUGGCCGAAUACACUAAGGAGUUGUGCGAUCACUGUCUUAAAUCACAGCAUGUGACCGGUGAGUGUCCUUUGCUUUCUGGACCCAAACCGGCAGUCUCGAUAUACGGGGUGUCUUGCCAGGAGCUUAUGUUUUUUGUGUCACCGAAGGUGGCACCAUCGAUACAGGCACUGGAGGGAUCUUUCCCAGGAGUGGUCAAUGUGACUACUGGUGUCAUGAUUGAAGCAUAGAUUGUGCAGCAGCUGCGUGAGUUGGCAUCAGGUAACUUUCAGUGGAACCUUGUCAGGUUGGAGAACCAGACGUACAAGGUAGAGUUUCCCACUAAGGACGAUCAAUUACAUAUCCUGAAAUUCGGCAUGUGCAGAGUUCCGAGUACUAGCAUCAUCUUGGAGUUUGACGAGUGGAAACAGAAAGAACCUCAGGGCACACCAUUGGAACACAUUUGGGUUCGUUUUUCGGGUGCUCCACCUAAGCCGCUUAAUAAUUUCUUAGUCACAUGGAGCUUGGGUUCCCUCAUUGGCAAGACUGAGAAGGUGGACAUGCCGUUUACUCAUGCCCAUGCAUGGGGUUGCGAGAUUACUUGCUAGUGUGGUAAGUAUUGAGUUUGUGCCGGAUGUGGUCAAGUGGACACAUGCCGGGGUCACAUAUGAGUUAGAGAUUGAGAUUGACGAUACGGUGACACACGAGGAGACUGGUGAGCAUCAGGUUAUGGACACUACUGAGGGGGGUGGACCCUCGGGGAUCAGAACAAGGGGACUGAGGACAAAUCUUGGGACAUGGCCAAGAGGCCUAAUCCGCAGACUGAUAAGGCAGAUAAUUCUGCCAAGGGCGCGUCAUCCUCCACGAUACCGAUGAAUGCAGUUCAUUUUGGUUCUUUUGUUUCAUAUUCGGCUCCCAGUCAUCUUUGGAGCAACAAAGUGGAGCUGGACAAUCCAACAGAGCUUGAGUUACCGUCGUUGUUGCCUCUUGAUUGUGGGUCACGGACGCAUCGCACUCCGCCUAGGGUGAUUUCCGGGCUGGAGAGAUUUACGCCGCGGGCGACUGCUGUUAUGGAUACUGUUGCGCAGGAGGCCCUCGUCUGUGACUACCCUGCAGUGGGCACUCGGGGGCCGCCUCGGUGGAGAGGGCGCCCAGCCCGAUGGUGCCCGCGGCGACAGGUGUUCGGGGCGCCGGGGCCGGUGCCGAGGUUGGGGUGGGGUGUGGGCAGGCGGCUCCUACUCCCCCCAUAGCGGUCACCUGGGACACCACCUCUAUGGAGAGGAUGAGCGCGCCGACCCUCCAUGCCGGCGAUGCUCCGAGUACUGGGACGGGUGUCCGUGGCAGCUCGCGUGCAGAAAGAAGCCGGUCAGCGCAUCGUGGCGACGGGCAGCGGCGCAUCCAGGCAUGCUCAGCUACGUGCAUUCAUAGCAGGCUAGCUAGACAUGUCGUGCAUGCAUAGCAGGCUUCUGUCGUUGCAGCGCGCGUAGGGCCCAAUAGUCUAAUGGGCGAACAGCGGCACCUUCCAACGCGGCCCCAAUUUUCAGGUCCAACGGGCGACACAGUCUAGCACGGCCCCACUCGUCAGACUUAACGGGCAAAGGACUGACCCAACGGCUUCCACCGUUUGCGACCAUUUCUGAAGGUUACAGACAAGAGAGUGGAGAAAAUGAGCAAAUGUUAAGAGCGUGGAGAUGAAUGAGUAUGGCUAAGGAACCAGGGGCACAGAUGUAAAAAUCCCUUAAAAAAUAUAGAUUGAAGUAUUUGAGUGGACCAUACAUUUUUCAAUUUCUCAGGUUUCCAAAUUUUCUCAAUUGCUGGUUGAAACCAAAAGGAUGAUAAAACUUUUCUUUUUCUUGAUAUAUCAUCUUGAUCAGUUCACGUUGAUCCUUCCGAUGGCUCAAUUUUUGUGUCAAUGAGUACUAUCAAGAUGGAUUUAAUUGUGUGCCAAAAUGGGCAAGAGAAAUUCAUAAAUAUGGGUGAUGCCAAAUAUUAUUGAUUAGAGUGUUUCCAAGCACAAAAGAUGUUAAUGUACCUAAAAACAAGUGUAAAUUCUUAGUGGUCAACCUAAUGCAGACCUUUUCCGAUGUUGGAGUUGAUAAAAGACAUCCCUAAUUAUGCCUGAAAAUUCCAAGUAACUGAACAUUAGUGAUCUCCAUGAUUCUGUCAUAGAUUAUGUAAACCAACUAGGGUAAUAUGGAUAUUUACUUUCCAGUUAUUAUUUAUUCCAAAAAUACUUAUUACCACUUUAUUAAUUAAUAUAUUGUACAAUUAGCAAAGCUAGUAAGGUUGACACCCCUGUUGCAAUUGUUGGGGUCACAAGUAAUGUUUUGUUAGUAUUGCGGAAUUAAUUAUUGGUGUAGAAAACUUCUACAUCCUCAAAUACUUAGCUCUCAUUGGAAACUUAUUUCUUGUUACAAACCUCUGCACUUGAGGGCCCCAAUUCCUUACAUCCUAAUAAGACAUCAUUCGGUUGUAAGAAUCCCAACCGUUCCAUAUACUCUAGAUUUUUCUAUUUGCAUCCAUGUCUAAUUAUAUAUCACUAUAAUGAUAUUUCUUAUACCCAUCACCGUUAGAGUGUCUACUAAUUUCCUUUUGAGAUGUCAACUAAUAUAUUUAAGAAUAUGCAAAACAAAUAUGCAGUAUAUUUAUGGAAGUGUCACAAAUUAUUCAAGAAGCAUGUGAUUUGUCAUUUCUUUUUACAUUUGGAUUUAGGUAAUUAUGUUUUAAGAUUCAAUAUAUCAAAAUAUAUAACUUUGAAAAUAGAUUUGAAAUUAUCACGAUUCAAUAUUUGCGAUUUAACACAAAUAAUUAUAAACAAGUAUUAAAGUUUAGUAUAUAUGAAUUUCUAAAGACUGCAUGUAUGUGUCCGCCGGGCGCCAGCGUAUCUGUCCGCUAGGUUUCUAAUGCAUAUUGCUUCCACAAGUUGUCAAGUGUCAUGUAUGAGAGGAGUGAAGUUGGCAAUGAAUCAAGCUAAUACUUCCAAUCAAAUAACCAACUUACAGCUUAAUAUCAAAGUAGCAAAAAAAAUAAGAGGCCCAAUUUAGCUACAUCCCAAACAGGAAUAGUACUGCUCCCUUGGUAGUUCAGCAAUCAGUAACAUUACAAAAAACAAGGGGCGUCCCAGCAACACAAGAUCCUUUCACAUGCUCAAUACCCUAACUGACGAAAACGACGCCUCAAGUACCUUCCAUGAAAGACAUACCGCCUGUUACGUGCAGCAAGGAUGAUGUCCCCUUCUUCUUGUGGAGUGAUGGUCAAAUCAGUCGGUAUGUUAUCCACAAGAUAAUCAUCAGGGUCAUGAUUAGCAACUGUAGAACAGACAAAAAAAUCAGUUAAUCACAGGUACAUAAUCGACAGACUGAAGAAUAUGAAAAGAUGCAGCCAAUGAAAUAACAGAAAACAAACAAACAGUGAAGCUUUGUUAUAAGCUCGGCAUGCUUACAGAGAAAUAACAGAAAACAUAAUGGAUUUUGUUUCAAGAUACCAGACUACACUUGCAGCUCUUGAAGAGGCAAAAAAUGAGGCUUUGCAAAAAAUUAUGCAAGACAACUAUUAUGACCUAGAAAAAUAUUUUUACCUAUCAAACAAUUAUUAUUAAGUAUUAUCAUUGUUUAUUGGGCAAAGAUUACGUUGCAAGACAAAUCUGAAGCUUUGCAAAAUUUGGUUCUACAUGGGGGAGUACAAAGAUCGUAGGAAGUUGUCCAGAUUAUAUUUAAGAGAAGAAAUUCAUACCAAAGAGUUUAGGAGGCAGCCCAUGAUCAUUCUGUCUAGAAACCUUGAAGAAAUUAGUGAACCAAGCACUAUCGGCGGUGAUUUUUCCAUAUCCUCCGAGUUGACUCUUUUUGUUCCAGUUGAACAAAGAUCGCCACCCUUCAGCACUUCCCACCUGCCUGCAAAAGGCUGUUCCUGCUAAAUCUAGUGCAAAGUAAGCCCUAUGUCCCUGUUCUGAUAUCACUCCAACUAGCAGAACAACAUGAGCAGAAACAUCCUCCCCAUCAGCAAUAAGUUGAGCCACAACAGAGGCAGGCAUAGCUGUGUAGUAUUGACAAUACUGCAGUUGUUCAUAUCCAACACCAUCAAAGAAGGUAGCAAGCACAGCAUUGCCAUCAGCAAUUUGCCGACAAACUUCCUCGAAAUCAUCACAGUGAAUGGCCCGGAUUUCACCACCAGUGAAGUGAUGACUCACACUUUUAGUUGACUGCAUGGUUGACUGCAUGGAUUCAAAUCCAAUAAUGUUACAGCAAGUGGUGGAUAGCAAGUGAUUUCAAAAAGAUUUCACGAAAAAAACGUUGUGGACAUCAAGUAAUAGAGUCAGAAGCAUACCAUGGAUUCCAUUGGAACUCCUGCCAAAAGCAUUGAAAGCAUGCGCAGAAUUUUGUGGACACCGCCACCAGUAGUUCUGAAAGGGAACUCUUCAUCAAAACGACUAAUGAAGUGUUCUGGAACACAAUAAGUAUUAGCCACACUUAAUACAGGUUCCUCGCUAGAGCACGCAAUCAUUAUUCUGUUCAUCAUCUCAGUCAGUUGAGCUACUGCAUAUGCCACACAUUCACCUGCACAAAAACAGAACAAGAAUGACUAGGUUAUACACAACAUAAGAGCAUUUACGAUAAAAGAAAUCACUUACAUAUAUUACUAGAUGAUUUAUAGGCAUUCAUAACAAAUAUUAAAAUAUAAAACUAGCACAUUACUACAAAUAAGAAUUAGGACAGUGAAGAGUUAAUCAGCACACAAUUGGUCGGGAGGAAGAACGAAAACUACCAUAGGUAGAAUAGAUGUUGUACGACAGAUUUGAAAUGCACAAAAGAACUUACCGGGAUCGCCUACUUUGAUUUUCUGUUCUUUGACUUCACCCACAAUCGAAAUUCCAUUCAUCAAGACAGUUGCAAGGUUUAAACUAAAGUUAUUUGGGUUCUACAAGAAACAAGUUAUAAGUUUCAUUCGAGAGAAACAAAGUAACAAAAGAAAAAUAGAUGAAGGAACAAAUUCAUACCAUAGAUUUACAGCUAACACAGUACAAUGGUGGGAAAUCAAACACAAGGAAUCUUAUAGUUUUCAUCUUCUGAUGGCAAUGAGGACACUCCCAGCUUGGGACAUCACAUUCACUUCUAGUGCCAAAAACGAUUUCGACUCCAUUAAUUAUCCGGGGUUCCAUAGGACCUUGCAUGAGACCUGCAAGGAAAAAAAAUCAGAUGUACGAAAGUUAUAAUCUCGAGACUGGGUCAGAUGUACAAUUUGGGAGGAGAAGAGAUUAGAACCACGGAUGGAUAACAACAUCUACCCUGGUACGGGAUAAAAACUUGCAUGUAGAAAAAUAAAGAAACACAACACCGCCCACCCUUUGUCUAAGAUGAGGGUUCGGUGACUGGAUUAUCUAGCGAAUCCGGAAAGUAAAGUUCCAAAUCAUCAACGCAAAAUCUACCAAAUCAAGACUCUCUGCGGAUCCGGAAGCUGCUGGACCGGGGGAGGGAGAGAAGCCGUUGUGGGGGGUAUUUAUCUGCGUUAUGAUGAUGCGGGGCGGGCCUGGACAGCCGUUGGAUCUAGGGAAAAAUGGGCGGAUGCGGUGGCGUAUUCAGAGUAUGGGGCGUGGACGGGGUUACAAUCGAUCCUUUCGCAACUCUGAAUUUCAUGGUGAGUCGAGGAAAUAAAAUACAAGAGUAUAUUUACUAUAAUAUUAAAGAACGGUCGAUUUCAUAGUUCUCCAUACGGCAUCCCGUUUAUAUCCGUUAAUUUUGUUUUAACUAUGAAGAUUGACGAUUGAGAUUUUCCAAAAUAAACGAAGGGUCAUGAGGUGUCUUCAGGUCGCAUCGCUGGUUCUGUCCGCUUGUCCAACACGUAACCAACACCGUAAAGCUAAUCCCCUUUGAUUUUCUCCUCCCAAAUCCCCUUGCCAGAUCCUUUUCAAAAAAAAAAUCCCCUUGCCAAAUUUCUUCUCAAAUUGAAAAACAUGAGGUCAGCAAGAUGUAGCCAUUGGAGGGCGAGUGUAAGCUCCACGUUACCGGCAGAGGACGAGCCAGCCGGCCCGAGGUUCGCCGACGACGAGUUUGACCACUUCCCUAGGAUGACACAUGGCUUACCAUGACGAUCGGCGUAGGCGGGCACCUCCGCGGCUGCGGCUUCGGCCUGAUACUGCGAAAGCACGGCCUCGCCGCGGAUCACGUCGUCGAUGCCUUCUUGGUGGAUGCCAAUCCACCACGGGGAGUGCCGUGGUAUUUUCACGGCAGAUGUCCUCUUAGGACUUAGUCGCGAGGCCAUCAGCGUCGAGUGGUAGAUCAAAGGGGUUAAACGAGAGACACAAUGAUUACCCAGAUUCGGCCCCUCUCGGUGGAGGUAAAAGCCUACUUCUGCUUGGAUUGCAUUGAUGAUCUCGAUUACAAGGGUUUCGCGUGGCUAACCUAGCAAUCGAGGGGUUCUAACUUGAUCUUUCUGACCUUGGGGCUCCCCUUUAUAUAUAGGGUGAGACAAGGGGCGUACAUUAGAGUUCGGGCCGGAAACAUGAUCCGUGCCCAAGUCUUUCUUUUCCUCUAAGGAAUAAUACAAUGGCGGUUCACAAGUAGGCUUCUGUCGGUAUGUCAUGGGCAGGCCCAUCCAGCGGGCGGCUUAUCCUUCUGGGCGAGUCUCCUGGAGGUCUUCGGCCCACCUGGCCUGGUCCAUCUUGUAAGUCGCCAUUAGCAUUGACCCGGCCCUAAACGGGCGGGUUAUAUCCUAUGAUUAUAUCCCGAACAUUAGCCCUCAGGUUGACUUGGAUUC
rnacentral:lncRNA from 1 species